CCGACCAUUGAGGCCUGUGGAGAGUUGAAUUUGAGCAGGGAGUUUUGGGGGGAGUGGUUAUGGCGGAGUUUGGUGAUUGGUAAGUGCUGCUGGUUUUUUUAAAAGGGUUUCCAGAGGUUUAAAGGUUGUUUGCAAGCUUUUUCUAAUGGUAUUUCAAAUAUAUGUGAUUUCGCUGACACCGUGCGGUGCCUCGGAACGUCAGGCCUGUGUAAAUUGGGAGUUUCCUGUAUACGAAUGUGUUACAUUAAGAGAAAUUCACAGGGAAAUGCAGAUGAAUUUUCAUAAGAUUUUUUUUUAAUUGCCAAGUGAUGUGGAAAUGUGGAUAACUGGAUUUAAUCUUAGAAAAAUGAGAAAUUAAGAGAAAAUAAAUUGACAAAUUUCUCCCCCCUUCUAGUGAUAAUACAGGGUUUCAGUUCUGAACAACUGAGGGGUUUUCCUAGGCCAGGUUGCUGAAUUUGACCCUGUUUGAGCCAUUGAGGAAGGACGCCUUUUGCUCAUUCUUAUCUGACCCUUUCGUACCAGGCUGUAGGAUUGGGCUGCCUAAUAUGCCAUUGUUUAAAACAGGGCAGAGAUUACUGAAUAAUUUAAAAACACCUUCAUUCACUGUAAGUUGAGUAAUGAAGUGGGAAUGAGCCAGAAUUCAUUAGUGAUAGUGCUGAGUGACAGUAUAAUAGAUUUUCAGCACUUUCCUCCCAGGUUUAUGAAAUAUAGAGUUCCACAAAUAUGCCAUCUCUUGUAGACCAUUAUUCAUAUUAGACAAAGAAAUGAGGGAAAGCAAACUUUCAUUGUAAGGAACUGCAGAGAAAAUGGAGCCAAACCUUUGUCUGUCCCAAUUUGUGUUAGAGUGAAAUAGGCCAUUCUUAACUAGUGAAUUAAUUAUGGAAAGUGCUCCCAUUACAUUUAACAUAUGUAAUUGUUAUUGUUUUUCACUGACAUGAGUUAUUCUGGGUAUUUGUUCUGAUCAAGAUAAAAGAUGAGCAAGUUCCCAUUACAGGAAGCAUUGAUUUAAAUGUUAUCAGUAUUCCUACUUAAACUUUGGAAGAACAGGGGGGAAGGGAGAAAAUGUUUAAGCAGUGUACUGAUUUCAGAGAGUACCUUCAAGCAAAGGGUCUGAGAGUCAAAAUAAUGAGAGAAAUCUAGUUUGGUUUCACGUAUUUCCUACCUAGAUCUUUAUCAUGGAAUUGUAUCUAGCACCAGCUAAUUCUGCUCCCACUUUACCUGGCAUUUUCCAUAGUACAGUGGUACCUUGGUUUACGAACUUAAUCCGUUACGGAAGUCCAUUCUUAAACUGAGGUGUGCUUUCCCUAAUGAGGCCUCCCGCCGCUGGUUCCCUUCCACCGUUCGGAUUCCAUUGUUAGACCAAGGUAAAGUUCUCAAACCAAGACACUAUUUCCAGUUUUGCGGGAUUUGUAAACCAAAUCGUUCUUAAACCGGACUGUUCUUAAACCGAGGUACCACUGUAUGUAAACAAACAAGGGUUACAGGGAGGCCCAACUCUAAACUUUUGGCAAGGGGCAAGGCAGGAAAGGACACUGGAGAGCCACAAUUGGUUGUGAUGCACAGCAUGCUUGUAAUCAUAUUUAGGGACAAAUGUGUUUGGCAUGGGAGCAGCUGGUGGAACCCAGUUGUCUCAUACAGUGUGAAGUAUCUCUCUGGUGACCAUGCAUAGGUUACUGUUGCUCUGCUUAGCAUGCCUCACAGGGUUAUGAGGAUGAAUACUGGAUUCAGUCUGAAUUCCUUCCAAGAAGGGCAGGAAAGGCAUGUGUUUGUAACAGCUACAAAUAAGCAGUUGGGGGAGGGGGAGAGAGAAUCUGCCUUCCCCUACUGCUACUGGCGAUUCAGGUGGAACUGGGGAAAGGCCUUGAGUAUUCAUCUGCCAAGAAGCUCUCUCUCUCCAGCUCACAACACUCCUCCCAAACUGAGUGCUAGAAUGACUUUGUGAACAAAACAAACUCCAUUAGUAAUAAAAGUGUUGGGGUGGUGUGGUUUUUCUAAAAUAUUAUUUAUGAAUGCCAACAGGAAUGCUAUUGCAACAACUUCAAAGAAAGUUCAGCUGGCACGUUAUUAAGAAGGGAAAACAUGUUGAGGUGGCUGCUUGGUUUCAGAGCUAAGCAAUCUGAGCAGAAGGCAGUUAUGUAGCAGAGUUCUGGAAGCCUUCCAUCCACUGCUGCUGCUCCCAGAUAUUAACCCAAGAUGCAGACUAAACAUUUGUACCCUGUUUGCACUGCCAGCUGACAAAUGAAGGUAAUUAAUGAGCAGCUAUAAGGUAGAAGAGUCUGGAAAAUUGCAAGGCUUGUCAACUAAAAUGCCCAGCGCUGACGCCAGAGUAUGGAUUUGAGUGCCUUAGGCCUGCUAAGUAAUCUUGCACAGAUGUGCACUUUAUAUUGACUUUCUGCAAAGUAUUCCUUGCGUUGUACUUUUUUGGCUCCUCUGUGUAAGAUCAUCCCCUUGACCAAUUCUUUCUGGCAGGCCAUAGGCAGGGAAGAAAUAUCACCACUGCAUAUUCCGCUGCCAGUCAUAGGAAGCAGCUGGCAAUGGGAUUAGACACUUGUCAGCGUUACAUGCAGGUGUCAGUUCUUUAAAGACUCCUCUGACAAUGCAUGCUCUCAGAGACAGUAAAAUCAGUUGCAUCUGCUCUACCGCUUACUAGCAAUUUCUACUGGGAACCCAGACCAAGGCUUUCCAAAAUACAGUGAUAAAGUGGGAGGCCCACAAUCCUUCGAGCUCUCAGGUGAAAAUUUAUUGGCUCUGUUUUUCCCAGCCUAAUGUAGGAAGACUCCUGUUGGAUGAGAUGAGAGGUCUAUCUCCUCCAGCAUCUUAUUUCAUUUAGUGGCUCACUGUAUGUCAUAUACUAUUUUAGGGCGCUUCCACACUAGUCCCCCUAGUGUAAUGCGACUUGCUCUUUAUCCUGCCUACAUGCCCCUUUAUCUACCCUCAAACUGGUUGUUGGGGGUUAAGAAGAACCCCCAGAAUAUGAUGCAGGGGACGAGAGAGGAGAUUGUUCCAUCAGGUAAACUGAAAUGCUUGCACUGAUGUAACAAUUGUGGUAGCGCAGCGUUUAGAAUUCCAUCUUAAACUUUAAGAGCACCUCGCACAUCUAAGAGAUUAGACCCAAGCAGGAGGUAAGGCUAGAAGCUAGAGAGAAAGCAGCUAAAGGAGAGAAGACUUGUUGUACGUAGUUCUUUAAUAAAUCUAUUUCUUGUUCAACUUCUCUGGCCUGCUUAUUAUUAAUUAAGGAACACUGCAGUUAAGAGUGUUGGAUUUACACUAGUGAGAAAUGGGUUCAAAUCCAGUAAACCAUACAUUUUACUGGAUUAUCAAGGGCAGUUGUUAUAUUUCAGUCUAAUUUACCUCACAGUACUGUGAGAAUAAAGGAUUAUAUAUAAGAGGAAAAAAUGUAAAUAGUAAUACACCAGAUUAUAAAUGCACUGAGAAUACCAAAUCUAGAUCUAUUCUCUGCUGUAUGCCAUUGACUUUCUUUCAACAAGUAAUGAACACACAAGAUUAACCUGCAGUUUAUUACUUUUUGCAAAUACUAAAAUGCUCUCCUGUUGAAUAGUAAUUAGAAAUACUGAACUUCCAUGAAGAAUAGGCAGUUGGUUGAUAUUAAAGCUGCAAUAUAAACAUCGUCAUUCAGUAUUCCUCGCUGGCUAUUUUAACAAUUGCAAUCAGUGGCAAAUUAGCUUUCUUGUGAAAAUCAUUACGUACCAAUAAUAAGAUUCACUCCAUCUUUUUGUGAGACGAGCAAAUCUUUCACAGAGGCACCGACAGCCACAGGAAGUGAAUGGGAAGUUUGACCAUAGAAAGGGUAGUUCACACAGCUACUAAAGCACCAAAAAAUGCAUUCAUAAGGAUUUUGCCAUCAUGAGUAAAAUCUGAUAUGCACAUUGGCUCUUUUGUAUUCUCUAUCAGCAGGCCAGGGUACAAUCCUAAAUCUGGCCACUGCCCAGUAGGGCUUAACAGAACCACAGGGCCACUGCCAAAUCUGUCACCUUUUUGUGCAUACAAGCCAGGGUGGAAAGUAGAGGGGAGUGACCCAGGAACAGCCUGCAGCAUGCACAGCAAUUGAGCCCAAAUCAGGCCUGGUGCUGUCACAUGAAUGCCCUAUUUCAGAAUUUGUUGCUAGCUGCUGCUCACAGGGAACACUUCUACCCACCCAUUUGGUAGGCAGAACAGAGAGCUCUGCACCAAUGGAGCAACACUAGUAUCAGUCCACAGGCAGAAGCUGGAGGAGACUAUCUGGCAUGACUGGGCAGGUAGACACCUCCACCCAGCACCCUGUCUAGUUCAGGUGCUCUACAGCUGCUUUUUUAAAGAAGGGAAAACUGUGGAUGAUCAUCAUGUUUCUCCCCACAUUACAUUUAAUUAAGCCCUGGAUUUCAUCUCAUGGAGGAAGGACCAUUGUACAGUACGUAUAGCCAUGCAACUUGUGGACAGUUCUCACAAACUGCUUAAUUCAUGGCAGCUUCAGUUUCUAUUCAAUGGGUGGUGACUUUCAGCGGCUCUGUAGCCAUAUCCCAAACUUGCAACGUGGCCUGUGUACAAUGGACUCAUGUGGAAUGAGCCACUGUUGUUGUUUUAAACAGUUUUCAUGAGGCUGGUUUGUGCUGAGUUCUACACAUGGCACAAUUUUUUGCACAAUGGGCUCUGCAUCUAGAAGCACAACUAAAAAGCAGCAUGAAUCGCCUAUAAACUACACAUCUUGUUUACUGAAAGAAUCAUAAAGUUUGGCCUAUGCAGCCAGUCCUACACAUGUUCACACUGAAGUUGAGUCCUCUUACGUUCAAUGGGACUUGUUCCCAAGUAAGUUUGCAUAUGAUAGCAUCCUCUAUCUGGCUUUAGUCAUAUAGUGGCUUCCAGACUGCACAAAGCACUUAAUCCCAGAGAUGUUUGUUGCUAGUGAGAGCAGCAUUUGAGAGCACAUGCUCGGUGAUUUCAGUUAAAUUUAAGCCCCUUCCAGGGAUGCUUUGCAGACAAAGCCCAGCAAUUUGCUCACCAGUCCAUUUUCUUUCAUGUAGAAGGGCUGGAUUAUUCUUUAUUAUUACAGUAUAUUAGGCAGAGAUGUGCCAAGUGGGUGCUGGCUAACAUCUCUGAAUGCUUAAAUGAUAGGUUCUCUAGCUAUGUAGUAAUGUAAGCUUCUGAGCUGAGCACCCUUUCAUUAUGCGCUAUUUGAGGUCAGGCUCCAGGCUGUCAAAGUGACUUGUGACAGUUCCAUAUCACAGGAAAUUAGGCAUAACAUGAAGAGCACAAGUUCACAUACCUCCACAUUUUGUAUACAGAAGUCUGAGGCUUAACAAAUGCUAGAAACAGGACUGUACUAUAACACAUGAGUUAGAAAUAUGUAUUGUUUUACCUUUAGUAAAUGACGAGCCCUAUAUAAUUACAUUCUAUUCUUACUAGGACAUGGUAAAUAGUGGUAAAUAAUUUUUGCGGUUAAUAAUCAAUAUGCAUCUGUGGCACACUACUGUGUGUGUCACAAAGGCCUGUGUGUUUUUGUUUGGGUGUGGAUAAAACUACAAAAGAGUUGGGUAGAAAACUGGGAAGAAAAACCCCAGCUCUAGCUUCUCCCUGCUCUCAUUUUUACACAUUAGAUAAGCAUGACCUAAUGUUCUUUUAGUAGAGUAUGGAGGCACUCAUAUGAACUUUUGGUAGGUCAAGGGCUAAUUUGCUAGAAGCUAUUUCAUUUUUCAAAUAUACCUAUCACUGUUAGGCAUCAUUCUCUAGUGGGAGACAAGGGAAAGGCAUGUCUGGAUAGUGUUUCAUGAAUCCACAUUUUAUACCAAACUAAAAAGAAUGAGGCAAUUAAUUUUCAAUGGUUUCCUUAGAGUUUCAAGGACUUUAUUCAGGGGAUACUUCUGAGAGUGUUAACACAGCAGAUCUAGUUAAUCAUUUCUUUUUCUCCAGACCCUUCUGACUUUGGCAGAAAUGGCAAAAUCUGACAUUAACCUUGAUCUUUAAUUUGACAUCCAUGACUUUUGGAGAGUUAAUUUUUGAAACUCAGUACAUACUUCAAGUUGUUUAAAGGAUUUAAAGUGAACGAAGAUUCAGCAUUGCCCCCCCACAAAUACCCAAAUACAACAAGGUUUUGAAAUUCUCUACAUUUUAUGAAAACAGAAAAUUGAGAAUAAUUUUAUUCCAUUGGACACAUGCAUUGUUAUUUUUUUAGCACAGGAAAUGUUUCUAUAAAGUUUUAAGAUAACAGCAUUCCUAUAUUUAUGACCCUUAUCAAACAAAACCCUGCUGAGUGUAUUUUCAUUUGAAAGGGCUUGCCUGCAGAGUGUGGUGCAACAUGCUAUUACUCUGAUUGAUGGGACACCCUCGUGUCCCAUAAAUUCCCAUUAUUUACAUUAUUAGCCAUAGAACUUUUGUUUAAGCAACUGUGCACCCUUACCCAAAUCAGUGGUGGUGAAUCACAUAAUCCAUUGAACAGGUUGCUGGAGAUGGUACGGAUGUCUACCUCCCUUUGACAUCAAUAGGGCCUUAGCAUUUAACAAUGUUCUAGAUUGCACUUGCUGAAGAGUGUUUCAUGGACUGUUCCAGGUUUCUUCCUUGAACUUUCAGAUAUCUUUAAGGACAUCAAUAGCUCUUUUUUCUGCAGUUAAGGGAAAACAGGCGAGCAAUAUUCUACACAGGCAAGCAACAGGUCAGGGACACCUUCCAGCCAAUCAAAAGCACUCAAUGAGGGUAUAGGGCAGACUGGUGUAGCCUGGUGAGGGAUUAUGGACCAAAGAGGGGCCUGAGGGUCUCCACUUCCUAGUGCAAAGGAUUAACUGUAAUAGACUUCUUACAGCCGGGCUUUUGCUAUUCCACAUGGACACUGGAUAGCUACCCACAGUUUAGCCUAGGCUCUCUGAACACACCACAACAUAUCUAGCUGUGGGUUUGUUGUGGGCACUUGCCAUAUUCCAAGACAGAAUUAGAUAGACUUUUAACACCUUUGGUUUCAGUGGGGUACAUAAUGCUUAACUCUAUGUUGGAUUGUUGCCUUGCUGCAAGGCACUUAACCUACUUAUUUAUAGUUCCCAACACAUUUUUCAUAGGCUGGGGUAGUAGCACAAGAGGUCUGACACACACACACACACACACACACACGUAGCAAUCCUAGAUUUAACCAGUAGGGCAGUCAUGGAGCCGCAGCUUAGCUGUGUAACCUUGUGUGUAACGUUAUGGGCACAUACAAGCAGAAAGGGCUAGGGAUCGCUUCACAUUGCCACAAAAAUGUCCAGACUCAGUUUUAAGCUUUAACUACUGUCAUUGGUUUAGAGCAGUAGUUCCCAGUUGGUGUUACGCAGACUACCUGCACCAUUUGGAUAACAAAUACUACCAUAGAGCUAUAAAUAUUCUCAAAAGUAGGGGGUCCAUGUCUUGGCUUUUGAAAGUACAUAGUACUUAGCUAAUUGGGAACCAAUGCUUUAGAGAAUAAUGUGAAAGAAACACGUUUGAGGCACAGUUAAAUAGCAUCUACAAGCAAUAAUUCAAUUUCCCUCCCUCUCUCUCUCUCUCUCUCUCUCUCUCACUCUCACACACACACACACGUUCUUAACAUCUAUACAUAGAGAUAAAUAAUCUCCCUCCCUUUUGCGCCGUCUUUUCCAGUGAAGUAGGAGUCAUUACCCUUUUAUUAUUAUAGAUAUGUUCUCUAGGAGUUGAUUCAAUGAAACAUAUGGCCCGAUUAAGGACAUAUAAAUUAAGUGGGAAGGGAUUGCGUUUAAUAAUUACCUGCAGCUGCAGCUCUCAGCAGUUGCAAAAAACAUACACAUUUCUAAAACUCGUAUUUAUAGAAGCACAGGAAAGUACCAAUGUUUUUUCAAAGGAAGAGAGAAAUGUAGGCACAGUAAAGGACGUAAUGCAGCUUGAAACCCAGUGUAAUUCUUUCUAUAUGCAGGCCACUGCUCCAUUUUUCAGCUUGCCAAAUGUGCCAGUUGUCAAUGCCCAGUUCAUUAGCACUUUUCUGGUGCUACGAAAGGCCAGGCCUAAAGGCCUGAAGUUCAAUCUCUGCUUAAAAUACAGUGUUUCUUUCCCAUAUUUCUAAUUUUUUUAACAAAGGCAGUUUGCUGGCGUUGCUUUAGUAACUGCAUGUGAAAUAAAUGGAAAGUAACGCUUAUUACUUGAAAAACUAGAGAGAGACAUGAAAUGGAAGCAUUAAACAUAAUAAACCUGACUGUGUCUUAGCAACUGUAUGGAGUCUAUCUUUCAAGUUUAUUAUGGUUCGAUGGUUAUCAGAGACUUAGGCAAACAUUCACUCCCAUUUAAGAAUUGAAAACAAUUUCUCAGCUCUUUUACAGGCAAUCCCUUUCUUAAACCAGCAUUGUCUUUCUCACUAGGAAGUCUCUUCUUUCCACUCAUAUCGCCCCGUUAUAUUGAUUGAACUCCCCUUCUAAUGCGCAAAGCUAAUGGCUCCAUCUUCCUGCAUGUCUCAUGAAAAUAGUAGGGAAAUCAAUUCCUCAGCUUAUGAAGACACCAAAGAUCUUUUAAAAUCUUAAAAAUGGGUGGAAAGAUCAAUGUCUCCUUAGUUUCAUCUUCAAUACCAGCUGGUGCCUAAGCAGGCCAUGAGUCUUUUGAGAAGGACUGCCUUCAUAAACCAAUAUCAAUAUUUCUGGAAUACACUCUUCAUGCUGAAUUGAUGUGUGACCUUGAUAAGAGUCCUUAAAGUUUUCUUGACUGCAAUGAGAUUAGGGCUGCGUUCCUUAUACAGUAGUACCUCUGGUUAAGAACUUAAUUUGUUCCAGAGGUCCGUUCUUAACCUGAAACUGUUCUUAACCUGAGGUACCACUUUAGCUAAUGGGGCCUCCUGUUGCUGCCGUGCCACCAGAGCCCGAUUUCUGUUCUCAUCCUGAAGAAAAGUUCUUAACCUGAGGUACUAUUUCUGGGUUAGUGGAGUCUGUAACUUGAAGCGUCUGUAACCUGAAGCAUCUGUAACCCGAGGUGCCACUGUAAACAUUUACUGUACCUGAAGUCAGUGGGACUUUCUUCUUAGUAAACAGGCAUAGGGUUGCCCUGUAACUAUAACUGCUGAGUACUUCUGGUUUAUAGAUAAUGAACAUUUUGAAUCUUACUGAUUGGGUGGACAAAUUACUGCUCUGAAAAUGGACUCAUUGGGUGGUGUCCAACUAAGUUUUACUCAGAGUAUCCCCACUGAAACUAAUGAACAUAGUUAAGUUAGGUCUAUUACUUUCAAUAGGUCUAGCUAAAUGCCAUCUUAUGUUGUCAACAAUGGUCUUUCAUUUUUUAAAUUUGUUUUUGUAGUCUGCUGCUAUGCACGCCAAUGAAGGCCAUUUUGCCCACUGAGACAUACUAUACAUACAGCUUAAGUCCUACUCAAUGCAGUGGACUUGCUUUUGAGCAGACACUUGUAUACACACACUUGUACUGCAAGUGUGUACAGGUUUGCCCCUUUCACAGUAUUAUUAGUUAAUCAGUAGAGUGUGGAUAUAUAUAGCCGACUUUUGAAAGCCAACUCACAGUUGACAUGACAAAAUCUGCAAUAAACAACAGGAGCAGCUAUUUUAAAUUAUGUUUAUUAUAUGUGGGGAAAAACAAAAUAAAAUAUUGCAGAGGUAGGAAAAUGCUAACUUUAUGUGGGCUCAUGUGAGAAUGAAUUCAGUGUCAAGUUAGCAGGGUACAUACAUACAUACAUAAAAUAAAAUAAAAUAAAAUAAAAUAAAAUAAAAUAAAAUAAAAUAAAAUAAAUUGCUAGAAAAGUGAAAGUUCAAAACUGAUGCAACCAAAAUAUAAAUUGAAUCAAUGAAACAAUACAACAGGACUGCCUUUCCAUUUGAAUUUAAGUGGUCUGGCUGCACCUACCCUCUGAAAUUCCCUCCUGUUACUUAUCACAUAGUGCCUCCCUAUUGCCACGGUUCCAACUCAGUUGAUUGGCACUCAUCCAGUCCAUCACUGCAUCCACAUGAUGGUCCAGAUCAUGCUUAAUCAUUUGUGAUUCAAAUGUUAUGGAGAAAGAGAGCUGCAUGUUAAUUCACUUUAAGAUGUAUCACAGGAAGCGAUUAAUAAAUGGGAUUAAAUAAAUAAUAAUAAUAUUGGUUACAUGAAAAUCCCAGCUUUCCAGAGGGUUCGGUUGGGCCCCUAUACCUCUAAUAUGCUCAAGACUAACAUAGGAACACCACAGGGAUGCGUACUCAGUCCACUCCUUUAUAUUCUCUACACGUACGAUUGUGUCACUACUCACCCUAGUAAUAGGGUUGUCAAAUUUGCAGAUGACACAACCGUGAUUGGGCUCAUCUCUGAAAGGGAGGGUGAAACGGAUUAUAGAGAUGAGGUGGAGCGGCUGACAGAGUGGUGCAGAGCUAACAACUUGCUCAUAAAUACAAGGAAGACAAAGGAGCUUGUGGUGGACUUCAGGAGACAGAAGAGCAACGUCCAGCCACUUUUGAUUGAUGGGGUCUGUGUGGAGAGGGUAACAACGUUCAGAUUUUUGGGCAUUGAAUUACAAGAGGAUCUGUCCUGGAGUGUCAACACAAGGGGGGCUUGUGAAGAAGGCGCAGCAGAGACUGUACUUUUUGAGAAUACUAAGGAAAAACCAUCUUCCGCAGAAACUGCUGCUUGCCUUCUAUCACUGUGCCAUUGAGAGCGUGCUCACUUAUGGCUUAUGUGUGUGGUACGGAAGCUGUACUACCCAGGACAGGAUGGGGUUGUGCAGGGUUGUUAAGGCAGCAGAGAGCAUUGUUGGCUGCCCACUCUCCACCUUAGAGCAGAUUUAUGCCACAAGGUGCCAUAGGAAGGCACUGGACAUAGUAAAAGAUCCAUCGCAUCCUGGUCACUGUCUCUUCGAGCUCUUGCCGUCGGGACGGAGAUACAGGACGAUGAAGACAAGAACGAGCCGUCUUAAGAACAGCUUCUUCUCCAGAGCGAUCUCGACCCUGAAUGGGAAGCCCGGACUUUGAAAGUCAUCUAAUCUCCCUUGCUGUAUUAUACUGUAUUGAUUAAUUAGUGUUUUUAUGGAGCAGUCAAGUAAUUUCGUUGUCCCCGAAGGGGGCAAUGACAAUAAAGAUAUUAUUAUUAUUAUUAUUAUUAUUAUUAUUAUUAUUAUUAUAUUACAUGGUGCUUUCUUUAGGUUCUUUCUAUAUACCUAUAUAAUCUUUUGCAAAUGACACUGUAUUUUAUAAAUUUCUUAUUAAAAUGUAUCUCCCUGGCUUCCCCAAUACAGUGGUGCCUCGCAAGACGAAAUUAAUUCGUUCCGCGAGUUUUUUCGUCUAGCGAAUUUUUCGUCUUGCGAAUCACGAAUUCCCAUAGGAAUGCAUUGAAAAUCAAUUAAUGCGUUCCUAUGGUCAAAAAAAGUCCAAACAAAGCCAAAUUUGGUACAACAACCUCCCCAAUUGUUGCAAACCCCUCCCCAACUGUUCCCCCAGUCACCCAGCACACAGAAAUUCAAAUCCAGAUUUUUUAAAAAAAAACAGCAGAGUGGCCCAAUGGUCACAGAAAAUCAUAAAAAUGCAGAAAAAAACCACACAAGCUUCCAGAUUCUUGCAAACCCCUCCCCAACUGUUCCCCCAGCCACCCAGCACACAGAAAUUCAAAUCCAGAAUUUUUUUAAAAAAAACAGCAGAGUGGCCCAAUGGUCACAGAAAAUCAUAAAAAAUGCAGAAAAAAGACACACAAGCUUCCAGAUUCUUGCAAACCCCUCCCCAACACCAAGUCCUUGAAUUCCAAACACCCCAACCCAAAAUCCAAAAACCCCCAAAAAAGUUUUAAAAGCUUAACUUGGCUGCAAAAGAAGUUUUGGAAAAGUUUCAAAAAUCACCAAAGUCUUUAAAAACCUCAAAAAAGGCUACUAUGUACACUGCGUUCUAUGAGUUGCUCCUUGAAGUCAAGUCGCAACUGUAUUAACGGUGUUAAGAAAAAGGAAACAAACUUGCAAGACGUUUUCGUCUUGCGAAGCAAGCCCAUAGGGAAAUUCGUCUUGUGAAGCAGCUCAAAAACGGAAAACCCUUUCGUCUAGCGAGUUUUCCGUCUUGCGAGGCAUUCGUCUUGCGGGGCACCACUGUAAAUAAGAUUGUUAUUAUAUAAUGCUGCUCUUCAUUAACUGGAUAGCUGUCAUGAAACUACUUUGAGGUCAUUUAGAUUAGCUGGUAAAGAAAUUUAACACACAUUUGGUCAGGGAUCUACACAAAUAAAGAUGUUAACAAGAUAACUUACUUUUGACCUAGGUAAACUUGUAGCCUAUUAUUAUUACAUUUAAAAAGUCAGUAUGCUUUUAUUCUAAUUACUCAUUAAUAUUAGACCCAACAAACCACAAUGUGGUCCUUCCAAUGAUCAAAGACUGGCUUUGAUUAUCUAGGCUAUUCAAAUAAGCUCCUACAGUACUGACAUAAAACAUACAAACUUCAAAAUAAGUGGGAAGAUUCCAGGCAAUGAAACAAACUCCCCUGCUCAUGUAUGGAGAGGUCAGCUGUCAUCAAGAUCACAGUCAAGCCAAGGAUACUUUAUGUUCUAAAGAAGACUCCCUUCUUUGGCAGGAAUGUGGAAGGGUUUUUAUUGAAAGGGUGAAAUUAUUCAAAUUUCAGAGUGUUCCCAAAUCUAAAGACUUUUAACGCAUGAGCACACUCACUCAGAAACAUACCGUAUUUUUCGCCCCAUAGGACGCACCUAGUUUUUUUGGGGGGAAAUAAAGGAAAAAAAAUUGAUUUCCCCCCCAGCCCGAGCUUCCCCUGACCCCAGCCCCCAGAACAGGCUGCUAUCCGUUAGCCGUGGGCUAGCGGAGCGCUGCGCGAAGCCCCAAGCUUGGGGCGUGCUGAGCUGAGCACGCCCCAAGCUUCUGGGUGCCGGCAAGGUCUCCACUAGCCGUGGGAGAGCCGCACGACUUCGCACGGCUCUCCCACGGCUAGCGGAGCCCAAAGCUCGGGGUGUGCUGAGCUCAGCGCGCCCCAAGCUUCUGGGUGCAGGCAAGCUCUCCGCUAGUGUGGGAGAGCUGCGUCUCCCACGGCUAGCGGAUAGCUUCCUGAAGCCUGGAGAGCGAGAGGGGUUGGUGCGCACCGACCCCCCUCGCUCUGCAGGCUUCAGCAAAAGCCUGCAUUCGCCCCAUAGGACGCACACACAUUUCCCCUUCAUUUUUGGAGGGGGAAAAGUGCAUCCUAUAGGGCGAAAAAUACGGUAAGUGGAACAAAACCUCUUUUUUUCUGACAUCCCAGUUAUUAUCUGGAACUCUGUGGAUGAGUACAGAUGCCAUUUACCUGUGUUCGUGUAACCACCUGAUAGAUAAGUCAGUCCCUGUGGUCCAAACCUGAUAACUGGAUAAUUAAUCAAAUAGUUAUACUGUGGGAAGUACCACUAGACAAUUUUGUGAGCACCAUUUUUGUUGGAAAAGUGACAAAUAAACGGAUGACGACGACAGGUGCUUAUCGUGUUUUCACCUGGUGUUUGUCUUCCAACGUUCAUUGUUGUUGGACAGUUUGGAUUUUCCUGCGCCUUGGCAGCUCCCCACUCUGCUAUUCCAAGCCUGCUGAGAGAAAUGAUGCAUAACAGCAUCAUUGUAGAACUUCUCCUUCCUUCCUUCUUUCCUUCCUUCCUUCCUUCCUUCCUUCCUUCCUUCCUUCCUCCUUAAAGCCACAAUAGCUUGCCUGAAAUAGAAUAUUUGGACCCAACUAGACGCUGGUUGCCUUCUACAGAAUGUGUAGAUCCAGUGCAAAAGUGCAUCUGCUGGCAGGGGCCAGGGAAUCACAGCAGACCAAGAGAGGAAUUUAACCCUUUCUUUUCCUGCUUCAGUUCUGAGGAAAAUCAUAGGAACCUAGGAAGUUUCCUUGUACCGAGUCAUACCAUUUGUGUGGGAUGUGAUACAUAAGUAGCAGUCAAAUACAACAUUCCUUAUUUUCCUAGAGUGGACAUGCGAGAGACUGUUUGGUCCAGCCAGUCAAAAACUUCCUGUUUCCUCCUGGCUGGGACAUACUUCCUUUGCAUGUGACUAGAUGUGGGCCUGACCUUACCUGCCUAGGUAACACAAAAGGACAGGGCAAGCAGCCAUCUCUCUCUUUUUGACUUUUGACUCUCCGUAUGGGAUAGAUCCACUUUGUAACUAAGUCUGCCUUCAGGGAUCAAACUGUGAACUGAUGACGUGAGUAAACUUCUUUUAUACAGUAUACUUUACACAAGUUUGUGGUGUGUUUAUUCUUUUAAGAGGGAUAUAAGGGAACUCCCAGGGAUGCGGGUGGCGCUGUGCGUUAAACCACAGAGCCUAGGACUUGCCGAUCAGAAGAUCGGCGAUUCGAAUCCCCACAACGGGGUGAGCUCCCGUUGGUCAGUCCCUGCUCCUGCCAACCUAGCAGUUCGAAAGCACGUCAGAGUGCAAGUAGAUAAAUAGGUACUGCUCCGGCGGGAAGGUAAACGGCGUUUCCGUGCGCUGCUCUGGUUCUCCAGAAGCGGCUUAGUCCUGCUGGCCACAUGUACGCUGUACGCUGUCUCCCUCGGCCAAUAAAGCGAGAUGAGCGCUGCAACCCCAGAGUUGGUCACGACUGGACCUAAUGGUCAGGGGUCCCUUUACCUUUACCUAAGGGAACUUACAGGAAUCUAAUAUUGAGAGGCUUAAACAAGCCUGCAACCAGCUACCUGCUGUGCGUUUAAAAGUGGAAUGUAAAACUCUGCUAAGUUAUAGAACUUGCUAGUACAAGUUAGGAAGGAUAUUAAUAAACAAUAUAGCCUCUCCUGCCUCCGUGAACAUUCCCACAAUUUGUCCCUCUAGUUUAGUACUGUUGACGCUGACAGACAGAGGCUCUUCUUUCAAGGUAAUACGUAGGGAGUCUUUCUCAGUUGUACUUGCAGACACCAGAGAUGAAACCUGGGAUCUUUUUGCAUGAAAAGCAUGAAAACUGAGCCAUGAUCCUUCCCAUUUCUCAAUAUCUGCUAUUUAUUAUUUUAUUUAUUUUGCAAAUUUUAUGUACCACUUGAGUAAUAAACAAAGGAAACACACCUCAAAGUGGUUUACAAAAAUUAUUUGCAUUGGAGAAGUACCCUAGUGAUGCCUGCUGCUAUCCUGAUAAGUAUUGAUACACAUAGGGUUGCCAUAUUUAAAAAAGUGAAAAUCCAGACACAAAGGUUGUUGAAAUUCCGGACAUAUGGCAGCCCUAGAUACACCCCACCCCCAGCAGAUACUAUUUGCUUUUAAAUUAAAAUUUCUAAUGCACAUUCUGCACAAAGUCACAUUUAACAUUGCAUCUCUGUCCCUUCUUUCAUUCAGACAGGUAACAGAGAAAUGCCUAUUUCACUGAAAUGUCUGGAGAAAAAAUUCUUUCAAAAGGUAUUAUUAACAGAUAUUAUUUUAACUAAAUCAUUCUCAAUUUUAUUUUUUUAAAAAACCCUUGCAGCCAUAGUUUAGCCAUCCUGAUCGUAUACAUUUUCCUAGACAAAACAAGGCACUCUGAGAGACAUGGACUUCUACACAAAGUGUGUUGAUCAUGUUACAUUAACAAUACGAUCAGCAAUCACAUCAUAGGCUUCAAAAAAUAAAAUGCCAAGUGCAUUUACUGGUGAUCGUUGCCACAGUAGCCACUGGGCCCAAAGUGCCCUGGAAGGGACACUUUACAUCUUCUCUUGCCAUCUGUGAUCAUAUAGCAUGCGGGUGGGGGGGGGAGAGAGACUCAUGUGUUGCAGUGCCGAUAGCUAUGCCUUCCCAUUUCACUCUGGCCCGGUAUUUUAUUUUAAAAAACUUUUGAUGUGAUGGCUAAUCACAGCGCUAAUGUAAUGUUCAGUUAGGUCCUUAAUUAGUGUUUAUUGUCUAUAGCCAAAGGGUUCUGCUUCUCUAAAUUGUGUCUAGGAUACCCUACCACCUGGAACUAGGUCUGUUGGACCAGCAAGAGACCAGUUAGCUGCUGUAUCGUUCCCAUAUGGUCUGCAGGUACCAGAAGGCCUAAAAUAAGUCUUUAUGGCCCCAUAACUUACCACCAUGUGGACAUGCUUUUCUUCAACUGGUCAUCACAGAUUACUUUCUAAAAGAUACCAAUGGCUAGUGAUAAGCACAAUACAAGGCAUAUUUUCUUGCCGCUUUGCAAUAAGCACUUACCAUUCUUUUUUGCAGAUACAGUUCCAGUUUUUUUCUGUUUGCUGGGAUACAGCCAGGUUGUGGCCUUCAGCACUUUUUCUCAGGUGCCUGCCUAUUUCUUUUUAAUUGUGCCUCUUGAUCCUGCCUGCUGCCUCUUGGAUAGCGAUUUGCCUGCACAAUGCAAGUUCUCAGCAGAGUGCCAAAAACACUCAGCUUGCUAUUUGAAAUGUAUCCCUUAGGUACCGUUGCAGUGUUGUUGAGAAAUGUGCAGUUGGCUGGCCAGCAGGUUUCUGAAGCAGCAAAAUUGAAUUUGGCAAAGGGUGAGGCCGUUCAUAUGGCUUCCAGGUGAACUUUAGCUUCAGGAUCAUUUAACCCUGUGGUAUUUGAUGGUGGUUGUCAAAAUUGCAUUGCUUUUAUUUAAAAUAUGUUUCUUUUGGACCGAAGGAAUAUUUUUUCCAAUGCUUCAUAUUUGCUCUGUUGCUAAGAGAAAUCCUUUCUCUUUGCCUUGUUCUUAAUUUAAAUACAAAUCUGCUUAUCAAGUUUACUUUGUGACAUACAUGUGGUGGUUAAUAUUGACACCCCCCCCCCCCGAAACACAUAUACACUCCCCAUCAUUAUACUUUCCAAGGCAGCUCUCUCUAUUAUCUUUUUGGUUAGGCAAUUGGUAGAGCAAUCUCAUAUGUCAAUUACAUUGGAGUCGGAGAUAUGCUACCACUAUACUGGCAGGAUGGAUAUUGCAUAUGGGAUGUGCUCAGCCAAGGAUGCACAAAAAGAAUCAACAGGAGGGCCUGCUAGUUCUGUGGAUGAACAUACACUGAGGUGUUUAUCAGAAAGACAAAACCAGCUCUGUAUUAGGGUUCUCUGCACAAUCAUAUGGAUAAGUUUGUGGUCUUUUCCAUUACUGUACAUAGUCUUCCAGUCUGUAAGGUCAUUAUUUUGUCAGUACAAAUCACACUCUAUACAUUCAGUUUUCAGAUUAACUGUUGGUUCCUUUUUAUUGUUUAAAAUUGCUUGGAAAAAUACCAGAGUGCCAACAAAAUGCAGCGACGUGUUUUCAAUAUUGAUUUCACCCCCAGCACAAAAAGCUAACAAAUCAGAAUAUAGAUUCAAGAUUGUAUAACUGUUCCAGUUUAGAUUUAUCGGACAUAUUAAAUAGGACAAUCUUGUUCGGUUCUAGCGCCAGGGUACAGAGGAGUAAGUGCUAAAUGUGAUUUAUACUCAAAAACCAAGGAACUUUCCUCAUAUUUCCUAUCCCAUAAACUUGCUAAUCACUUUAGAGAUAAUAUCAUUAAAAUACACACUUCUUACAUCACAGAUUUAAAGCUUUCUGUCCUCAUUCAGACAAACUGGGAAAACUUUUUGAAAGGUCUUCUAAUAAAUAAUAUUGAUAUAUGCUAGGAAUGCACUCCUUAUUUAAUUUUUCCCAUUCUUUUCUUUUCAUCAGGGAACAGAUAGUUUUAUUCAGAAUCUAUUAUUUAUAAACAGUCAUAAAACUGCUUUCAUGAAAUAGUUACACAAGAGAUAUUCCAGAGAGACCCAGCUUUGAGAAAAAUGUAAAAAGUUAUUUGUUUAAAGCCUGCAUGUCCAUGUGUUUCCCUCAGUGUAAUGCAGUAACAACAAAAAAUCUUCCCAGUCUAAAGCAAUUGAGUUAGGAGAGAAGGUUAUACGACGUAUUCACACUUAUUCAUAAAUCCAUAAGUACAGUAAUGUUUCAUAGAUUGUCCUCUGAUGACACAAUGGGGUGUAUGUACUGCUGUAUGGGCUGUGCUCUCACCCCUAAUAAGGGGAAAGAUGGGUGUUGGGCUCCACAGGAACAAAAUACAGUUAAAUUAUUCCGAAGUACUAACUAGGAAAGAAUUAUUUGUAAUUCACAAGCAGCCAUACAAGUUAUAUGCAAGAUAAGGCUACCAAUGACUGCUAGCCAAUAUGCCAAUGAUCAGUCUCCACUGUUGGGGACAGUAUUUCCCUGAAUACCAGUUGCUGUGAAUCUCAGCUGUGGAGAGUGCUUUCUCCCUGAUGCCUAGCUUAUGGGCUUCCCAUGGGAAUUGGUUGGCCACUGUGAAAACAGAUUGCUGGAGAAUAGAUAGGCCCUGGCCUGAUUCAGCAGGUCUUUACUUAUGUCAAUAAGUGAUGCUUGCCCAAGCAAGCUGCUUUUGAUGAAGAUUUUCUUCCUUUCUUGGCAGCUGUAAUCCUCACAACUGGAUCCCAGGGGUACACAGGUGUUUAACUCCCUCCUAGCCUGACUAAACAGUUCACAUAAGCGCAGCAGCCAAGAUUGGAAUUCUUUUCUUGCACAGUACAGCUUCUACAAAAGAAUUUCCCUUUUUCAUAUAGCUUAUACUGUAUAACACUACCCUCUGACCAACCCCAGAACUGCUGGGAAUACAAUUUUUCUUCCUGCAGCAACAAAACACAGGCAGAAGGUGGAAGGGAAAGCAUGCCUUCGUUGUAGCAUAAAUUACAUGUUCUUUGUUCCUGCCUUUGGCCUUCUCCACUUCUCCAAAUGUAUCUCCAGAGCAAGAGGUAAGGUGAUUAUGUAGGGCAUGCCCUGGACUAAAGUUCAGAUGGGAGUUGUGGCCCCAAAUAUCUGGACAGCACCGGGAUGGAAAAGGUUGAUGUAGGGUUUGUCUGGGGUUUUUUUUUACUCUAAAAAAGGAAGCUGGACUUUCCCCCUGUUCUCUCAUUCCUUGGGGAUAUACAUUUGCAUAAUGUACCUGCCUUUUCCAAUAGGUAUCCAUUUGGCCUGAAACUAUGGCUGCCUAUGCACCAUACAUUUCAAGCACAUGACUUCCCCCAAAUCUGGGGACUGUAAUUUGUUAAGGGGUUUAAGGGUUCUGGGAAUUGUAACUGUGACGGGUAAACUACAGCUCCCAAAAUUAUUUGGGGCAAGUUGUAUGCUUUAAAUAUAUGAUGUGUACAUAGCCUUUGUUGUAGUGCAUGAGGGUAUGGAGAGAGAGAGAGAAUGAGAAUAUGCCUGGUGUUCUUAUUGCAAACACUGGGUAGAAGCUUGUGUUCAAUUCUAGUAUAACCUCUAAUGUUCCCAUUGGAACAAGAACAAAGAAUAACAGGAGGAGAAUUGAGAGAGGGUUGAGUCGUGAUCAGGAUUACAGUCUAAAAUAACCUGCGACUGAAUAUGUCUGUGCACAGUUCAUAAAUAUUUCCACAGAUCCAUUUAAAUGUACAGUAAUAUUUAUUUUACUUAUUCAAGUAUCGUGAAGGGAAAUAGUGGUUAUGGUUCCAUUUUGUUAUCAGGCACUACUGGGAGUAAUUAGCAGUGAAUGAACAUAUUAAAACCUCCAUAAUGGGAUUUGGGUAGACACCAAAGCAAAUAAUACAUUAACACAUUAGAGAUUACAGGCAUCUUUAAAAAAUGUAUGGUCUUGCUGGGCGGAUGACAUUACACAGCCAAUAUGUCAGAAUAAUGUUUGCUUGUCCCUUGUUAAUAUUGGUGGAUUUAGGUCCUUAUUCAGCACUUACAAAUAAAUGAUGCAAGCAGGGAUUUAAAAGUUUGAAUAAACCAAACUGUUACUUUUUUCUUUUUGCAUCAAGUGAUACAAAGGGUGCAGUAUUUCUGUGCAUUUCUGAGCAGUUAAGUGGAGUGGUCAUUAAUUAAAUUACUUUCCAUUAUUUUCUUUUUUCCUUCCUCCGUAACAUAUAAAUGUAGUCCAAGUGGGAUCAGUAUGUGAUCCAAUAUCAAUUCUCCAUGAAACCCAUUCGUUUGGUAGUUGUCAUUUAGGACUUAGAGCGAAUAGUUCUAAAUUUGAUCCAUGGAUAACCCUAGGCAAUGCACUACCUCUUCAUAGACUGCAUAUGCACUCCUAUUUACACUGCAACCACUGCCCUCCCACUGCUGGUUUGGGAAGCGAUGUACAUAAAUUAGCCACGAUUCAUAUCCAGCCUGUCCCAGUCCUGUUGUUCUUUGAGAAAUAUUGCACUUUGAUGCUCUUUCUCAUAAAACAGCUUCAAUCCAAAUUGAUAAAAAUAAUGAGCUCACUGUGUUUUAAACCAGUAAUGAGUACACAGUCUUAGCCUCACUUCCUAUUCUGCAAAAGCAGGAUUGAUGAUUAUUCUGUCCUAGAAUUAAAGUUGUGAGUUCUUUAAAUUUUUGUGGUUGUGUUCUGCAACAUGUCAAUGACGCGAUAUUAGUGCAUUUGUGGCAGAUAUAUAGUGGACCAUCCGCACGUCAUUCCACUUCCAUGCCAUUAGUUGUUUCCUGAAUGUGAUGCUUCCUUAAUGUUAAUGCAUUGUUGCCACUGGGAGGGCCAUCACAAAAGCAGGACAAAAAGUAAUCUGGAACAUUACAAUCACAACAAAACUUUUGCAAGCACAAACAUUAUCAGAAGUGGACUGCGUAUAACGACCUGAUGACCACAAAUUAUCAUGAAUGCACAAUAAAAAGGACACCUGGAGGGGCCUUGAUUCUCUUGGAAAAGAAUUGGGUACACCUAAUAUCUCACACAUCAAGAAUGUUAGGAAAAGGAAAAGGGGGGAAAUAGAAGAAAACCUGACAUCUUUCAUCAUUUGUGCAUGUGGACAGCAAGGAAGGACAGAAUUUGGGUUCAGCAUAUGCUAUAAAACCCAGAAAAAGAUGAAAAAAAUAAUAUAUUGUCAGAGCCAAGCAAUAGGAAAGGGAUGAGAAGGAAUUCUCAUAUAGUGAGGAAUUGUGCUUAUGGGGCCAGCAAACCUUCAUAUUGCAAAUGCAACUGGAAAUGACUCUCUCGGCUUUACUGCAAAACAUUACUGAGGGAUUGACUAGGAUAUAGAGAGAACCUGACCACAUUUCCUUGAUGGGUGUGCAUUGUUACUACAUUUAAAACUAGAACUUCAUGGAGUUGAAAAAUAAACAAAAAGAGAAUUAAAAUAACCAAAGUGGUGAGGCACUUUCUCUGCAAGCAGCAGCACCACCACCACCACUAACAACAACAAUUUACUAUUUAUACCCCACCCAUCUGGCUGGGUUUCCCCAGCCACUCUGGGCGGCUUCCAACAGAAUAUUAAAAUACAAUACUCUAAUUAAACAUUAAACAUUAAAAGCUUCCCUAAACAGGGCUGCCUUCAGAUGUCUUUCUCUUUGACAUCUGGUGGAAGGGCGUUCCACAGGGUGGGUGCCACUACCGAGAAGGUGAAAGAUGGUGGGAGAGGGUUGAUGUUCUCUCUCUCUCUCUCUCCCCCCUAUUUUAAAUGAAGCUUUGGGGAGGUCUAUGCAUAGUGGAGAUACACUUCUCUCUCUUCUGCAGCACUAGAACUCUCAGGAGUGGGUAGAGGAAUGCAGCCAAAGAUCCUAUGGGAAGACUGCAGACUGAACAGCCACACACAUCAUCUAGGAACAGCCUUCAGUGAGGUGAAGUAAUUACAGUAAAUAAAGAUUUGCAUAUAGUAUAUUUAUAUGUCUCCUCUAAUUCUCUUUUUUGUUGAUGUGUAAAUUCCCAUCUUAGCUCCAUUCUCCUUCAGACCAUCUGGUCAGGAAUAAGAAGGUCCUUAGUUGUCUCAGUCCACAUAAGCGUUGGGUGGACACAGCAUCCUGCACCAUGGCAAGCUGUUACAUGGAGUAUAUAGCCUUGCAUUUAGCGCCUAAGUUGUUUCCAUGGCCUCCUGCUAGAAUACCUCACAUAAAAAUAUAUUAAAUUCCUUCGGAGACACACAGAGCACAUUUUUGUCACCAGCCGAUAUAUACAGGGAAUUCUCGCCCAUCAGGGAUUAGAGGAAGGACUUUCAAAUUAGAGAGCCGUAUUUCCAGAGAAAUUUACAUUUGUAUAGAAAUAGAGCACAGCUUGCUUUUAUUUAGUAAUCUGUUAAUAUAGGCCACUUCAUGGCAGUCAGCAUUCCCUAAUAAAGAGUCCCUGCUAAUUCUUCAGAAAAUUCAGGGCACAUCUUUCUUUCCCUGACAGCUUUAGGACACAAAUGCUUGUCCUUGGAAUCACAGAUUUAAAGUUUCCUUUCCAUAACAUCUCUUUUCAUGUCCGUAAUUCAUUCACCAAGCUCCAUGUUUACAGAAAUAACAACUUUAAUUUUUAGUGUAUGAACGUCUUUAUCUGUAUCACAACUCAUCCUCCUCAUUUUGGCUAAGCUCUUUUUAAUUUGGUUUUUGUUUACAUCAGACUUUGUUUAUAUCAAAGGAAACUCAUUAUUUGUAUACAUCACACAAGAAGCUGGCUGAUUAUGACAAUGAAGGAAAAAAGCAAAUAGAAGUCCUUAGAAUCUGAAACAUUUUCUGGCCUACUUCAUUUGUUCACAGUUGCGUUACUCUUGGCUCCUCUGAUUACUUUGUUCUUAGCAUCAUUAAUCAGCGAUGAGAGAUGCCAAGAACCAGCUAACUGAAAUCCAACCGGCUAUUGAAGUACAUUUUUUAACCUUCUAUGGAUAGCAAACCAUCACUCCUAGUUCCUCAGAAAAACUAAACAAAGGCCAUUGGAAAUGACUCAUGACAACUUCAAUUAUAAUAGUACAAAGUAGGCUAGUUGAUACAGUGAAGUCUUUUGGAAGAAAGGGGCAGAGAAUAUUGUUGUUGAACUGCCAAAGGCAAGUUAUCCGGUUAGAUUGUAUCCUUGUAACAAUCCAAGAGUGGAGCAGAUGCACCAAGCCGCUUCAUUUACCAGGACAAGAGCCAGAGUCGGGAGACUUCAUCAGAGGCGGAAGACCCCCAUUGCUAGUGUUAGUGAGACUGAGGGUCAAGGGGAGUCACUGGAAAUGGAGAAACUUCCUGAGAUCACCACUCAUAGAAGUGCAUCACUUGGAAGAGUGAGAGAUUCAGGGCUACCAAUUACAUCCUGACUUGUCCCAAGUUCUUCUUCUACAAAAUUGUCACCAGAAGCACGGGCAGCAGUGUGUGGGUCUGAGCAGAGGUCCACACCUGAAGGCUUUUUGGAAUUUCAAGGCCUACUUCCCCUGAUCCCUCUUCAACAGCAAGAAACUACAGCCCAUACAUGCCCUGGAUAUAUGCCCUGCUGAUGCCCCAUUGUUGAUGCAACAUCUCAGCACUGCAUAAUCUGCUUGGACAGCAAUCUUGUUCUGGAGGAAAUCUUGCUCUCUGACCUAUACAGCAGUUGAUCACCCUCCUGGGUCAGAGAAGAAUCUAAUCUAAAUGGCAAUGGUGGCAGGAACCAAGCCCUUUCCCCUGUCCCCCAUUCAGGCCAGCCCAUAUCACAGAUGUGGGUCAUCGUGGGACUCGCAUUGGCUUUGCAGAUUUUGGGGUCCAAAGAGGGAGGCCCACUGAAAGAGACAUACCUGCCAUUACUGGGAUGCUUCCUCCACUUUCAGUGUAGUAGUGCCAAGCAUUACAAUGAGAGCCUACAGUGAGAAACUGCCAUUUGAGCAUAUCCUUAUAUUCAGCAGGCAGUGUUCAUGUUGUUCUUACUUAGACACAAUUUUACUAUGUGUGUGAGAGAUGCUCACAUGUUUUUCCACCCAUGAAACACAUGUGCUGCACACUCUGGGAGUCAAGGUUCAUUGGGAAGUAAGUCAUGUUGCAUGGGAAAUACUCCUGGAAAUACUCCUGGAAGCUGUCUCUGGGAAAUACGAUAGGAGAAGAAUUAGUAUUAUUUCAGUGGUUCCUCAGUGUUUUAGACUAAAUAGGUUUGCCAACAAAUAUCCACCCUUCUUAGAGAUACCUGCCAAGUAUACGGAAGAGAUCAGGAGUUUGGCAUGAAUGUGACAGAAGCAUCCAAGAAGAGAGCUGUAAAGAGAGGCUGGGAUCUGGAUUGAGGUUUUUCUGCAUGGAUUGAAGGCCAGUUAGAAGCAGGAUAGAUUUGCCUGUCAUCAACCCUUGUUUGAAAAAGGAAGCUGUAACCCUCAGUUUAAAAACUUGCUGCAAAGUAACUGGAACCUAACAUUUCUCCACUAGGUGGCUGGGCAGUCUGACAUUACACUAUAUGGAAGAGUUAGGAAUACAGUUAUCUGAGAGCAGAUGUACCUCAGAAUCCAGCCCAGCAGGGCCUAACUGGAAGUUUAUUUUAUGGGAUUUUUUAAAAAAAUAUUUUUUAUUAACCAACCAAUCACAUCAAAUCAAACCAAAUUACAUAAAUUCCAAAUUACAAAGCCGAAUUUUAAAUUUUUGUUGGGGGUACCCAUAUUUCAAGUUCCGAAGAGAUCCAAUCAUCUUCUUACUACUGGUUUAAUGUCCACAGAUCUGUCCAUAUGAUGUUCACAAUACUGUCCACUCCUUUCUUGUUGUUUUCCACAUCUCCUCUUGUUAUUCUCAUAUAUUUUUCCUUUCUCUUUGUGACUUCUGAUGCUCUCCAAAGCGGCUUAAAACAAGUUGUAAUCCUGUGUGGAUAUUUUUAUUCAUCCAAGAAUCAUAUUCAGACUGUUUCCGUAUAUCAUCACUUCCAUAAAUAAAAACAGUCUAACCGUCGUUAAUCUUUACAAGUCUGUCGCCUUUAUCCAACCUCUGAGGAGGUUCCCCAGAAAUGCAGUCCAAAAACAAAUCCAUUCCUCCUCCCGGUUGUAAAUCCUUUGACAAAGCCUGGCAAGAUGGCAACUGUUUUUAUUGCUGCGUCACUCCAAAAGCUCUUAUUCUUUACUCAAUCUCCAUAAAACAUACUUUUGGUUAAAGUUCAUUUCCACACAGUCCUUAAACAUCCUGCUUAGGUCAGUUAGCCGACGGAUCCAGAGUUGGGAAUACAGUUAUCUGGGAGCAGAUGUACCUCAGAAUCCAGCCCAGCAGGGCCUAACUGGAAGUUUAUUUUAUGGGAUUUGUUAACUGCCUCCCUUUCAGAUUUCUCUGCAAGAAUGGCUAAUAUCGACAAGAUGUUGUUGCAUUAAUUUGUACUGCUAUUUUGAUCCAGCCUCUCACCAGGGAAAUCAAACUGAACCUGCUUACUCCCUUAGAGUGAUAUUGGGUGUGAGUCCUUGUGUAACCUCAACUUUCUGGGACAGAGCUUCGCAACACGAUGAGGUUUUUUUUUUGCAGAUUGGAUGCAAAAAAGAAAACAAAAGGAAGUGGCGGGAUUCUUCAAGGGUAUAUGUACACCACAAAUCUGCAUCAGUUUUGAGGCAGUUUAACUGUCAUGGCAUCCAUCUGAGGACCAGACAUUAAGUACCUGUGCCUUUAAGAGCAGGCAUUUUCCCUUCUCCACAGACUGACAGUGUGGGGUCUUAGCCUGUAUUGGGACCCACUGGUGGUGGUAAUAGGAGGCUUUCACACUUUGACCCUCACUGGAUCCAGAUCAGGCCUCCCACACCUGCAAGUUGAAUUGGGAGGAAGGUUGCAUUAACUUCAAUGGAGGCUUUCCCCCCUAGAAUGCAGGUGUGUGUGUGUGUGUGUGUACGCUCAUCUGGCAGGUGACCAAGGGUUAAAGUCUCUAGCGUCAGUCUGGAUUGGGCCCUCCAUGCUGGCAAUUAGUGUAAACGGAACCCCUCCUUCUUUUUUCAAAAAAUUUAUGCACCGCUUGAUUGGGGGGGAAAAACAAAAUACCUCAAUGUGGUUUACAAACAAGAAAAAAAAUAAAUCAAGAAAAAAAUUACAACCCUACUUUAAAGCAUAUAAAAGUUAAAAUACUAAAACAUUUAUUUAUUUAUUUUUACUUAAAAGUGGGUAGCUAAUCACUGUUUAGCUUGGCUCUGAAUCAGGGUGCUGAAAACUGUUUGUUAGAGAUUCCUUUCCUCACAGAACUGCAGGAAUUACUUGUGUAAAAGAACGACAGUUAGUUUCUGUCUAUAUUGCAGAUAAACCCUUCAAUUUGUUAAUAAAUCUGGUAAGGACCCCACUGAAAGAGAUCUCUUUAAAUAUUGGAAGAAAUAAGAGCCAUAUGGUAAAUACAGCUUUGAAUUUCAGCCCUUUACAUAAUUUACCCAAAGCACCCUUUAACUACAGCAUCCAACACUGGCAUUUUCAGACUUUGUUGUACAGGGGGCGAUCAACAAUUAAUUUGCUCUGAGAGGUCAACUGUAUUAUAUUUCAUUGGCUUAUUUGACGGCCAAGCUGGAGAGUUGCCCCAUGAAAGAAACAGCUCUUUUUAAAAAAUGUGCAAAGCUCUGCAGAAAUCCUCGCUUCACCAUGCUCUUAGGCCUAUACAGCAUGCUACAUGCUGACUGCAUAUGUCAACUUCUAGUUCUAAAAGAUUAAUCUCCCAUUAGCCAGUGUGUUGUUAAGCCUUUUGGGGAAUUCUUGUGAGUACCUUUGGCUGACAAAGCGCUAUUUUCACUCAGGAUUCAAUAUUUAAUGCAGCAGCGUGUGAACCACAGGUGUCCAACUGUAUAUAGCAAUUUGGGAGAGAGAUUUUAAUGGAAGUGGUUUAACACCAUGCACUAUGGAAGUUCUGCCAGGGUUUAAAAUGUCCCAUCUGGCUGGAUAUAUUUGUCAUUCUACCUGUGUUUUUAAUUAUCCCAGUUAUCUGGGGCCUUAUUCUGUAUUUAUGAAAGAUAUGAUGACAAUUUUUCCCACAAUAAAGACAUUAAAUAUCUGCCCCCCCCCUUCAGUUUUUGGUUCAUGUCAUACAUUAUACUACAGAUAGAAAGUUUUUAAUGUAUUUCCACGCAUAUGAAACCGGUGUUUUAUGCAUCCAGUGCUGGUAUGUUUGUGGCAUAUCUUUGGCCGCCACCAAGGACCAAGUAGGUAUAAGUCAGGGAAAGGACUGCUUUGUUUGUCUCAUUGUUUCUCUGACUGUCCAUUAUAUACACAGUUUCAUGUUUUUCAUUCUGGAAGUGGUUAGUGCAAAAUGCUGCAGCAUGAUUGCUAACAGGAGCGACACAUUGUCAGCAUAGAACAGCUGUGCUCGGAGAUCUGCAGUUGUUGCCGAUUUGCUACCAGGCCAAGUUCAAGAUGUUGCUAUUAGUAUUAUAAAGCUCUUAACAACUUGGGAUCAAUUUGCAUAUGACACCACUUUAUCCUGUUUGUCCCCACUCGACCAUGUCAAGCAGCAGAACUGGCACAAUUACAGGUGCCACAUAAGACUGGUUCUGUAUUUCUAAGAACUUGAUCUUUGGUGUGGCAGCACUUAUACUUUGGAAUACAGUGGUACCUCGGGUUACAUACGCUUCAGGUUACAUACGCUUCAGGUUACAUACGCUUCAGGUUACAGACCCUGCUAACCCAGAAAUAAUACCUUGGGUUAAGAACUUUGCUUCAGGAUGAGAACAGAAAUUGUGCUCCGGCGGCGUGGCGGCACCAGGAGGCCCCAUUAGCUAAAGUGGUGCUUCAGGUUAAGAACGGACCUCUGGAACGAAUUAAGUACUUAACCUGAGGUACCACUGUAUAUCCUGCCUAUUGAUAUCAGGCAGGCACCUUUACUGUACUCUUUUCAGUGCCUGCUAAAAACAUUUUUUUUUUUAAGACAAGCCUACCCAGAUGUUUAGAAAGUUGAUGUGAGUCUUAAUCUGUUUUUCUUCUAUUGUUAUUUUAACUUUUCAAAGGUAUUAAAUUAUUGUUAUUUUUCUUAGUGUUUUUAAAAAAAAAAUGUAAAACACUGAAGUUUUCUAUAACAAAGCAAUGUAUAAAUUUGUUUGUGUGUAGUGUGGCAGUGGUUAAAUCCUUUGUCUGCUGUGGCUAAUGCUUGGAACUACAAUUCCCAGUGAGCAGGUGCAUAUGACCAUCAUUUCAAGCUAAGAGAGAACUAUGAAAGCAGAUGAAUUUUCUGAAUACAGUGGUACCUCAGGUUAAGUAUUUAAUUCGUUCCGGAGGUCUGUACUUAACCUGAAACUGUUCUUAACCUGAAGCACCACUUUAGCUAAUGGGGCCUCCUGCUGCUGCCGUGCCACCAGAGCCCGAUUUCUGUUCUCAUCCUGAAGCAAAGUUCUUAACCUGAAGCACUAUUUCUGGGUUAGCAGAGUCUUUAACCUGAAGCGUAUGUAACCUGAGGUACCACUGUACUCGCUGAGAAAACUUGCAAAUGCUGACCCAGUUUCAAACUGAGCUGGGGGAGUUCUCCCAACCCUUGUAAAUACCUAUGCAAUAAACUUAAUACAAAAGGCAUUUCAGGCAGCUGCAACUGCUUUUUAAAAUGUAAUCUACAAGUAAACAUGCAAACCCUGGAUGUAGGGACUAACUGCAGGUUGUGAUUUUUCUUUUCUUCUUUAAGGUACAAGGGUGAUGUUCACUGGAAAUGUGUGGAAAUGGAAGAUUCCCCAAACCUUUGAUUACAAAACAAAAAAAUCCCCUCUUGUACUGCAGCUAGGCAUGUUCAGGGAAUCCUUCAGAAUCUAUGAAAGCUGGGACAUAAGAAUGCAUUUAUCCGUGACUCAUUAAUUCCCUCAAACUACAGGACUCUUGCUGUUUGUUUGUCUUUAAGAAAAACAUGGUGUUGUGGUUAAAUCUCAUGAUAAGGGUUCGGGAGCUCUGUAGCACUAUUGCCAAGGCCAUAAGCUUCCUGUGCACUUGAGGCAUAACAGCAGCAGACUCAUUUUUCAGAAUGCAGCUCACUUCUGAACAGAUACAAAGCACAAGGGGUGUGUGUGAGAGAGGCUUUAAUCUCAGAGUCAGAGGAUGAUGAGCUGGCUUAGUCUGGGGCUGUUAUGCCACUGGCUGAGGAACUGGAGAGGUUUCCUGAUACUAAGCAGGAAGCUAGUGGUCAGAAGCCUAAUGAAUCUGAGACAAGAACCCAAAUUCUAUUUGCCUGAAGAAUCAUAGGAACAUAGGAAGCAUCCUUAUACUGACUCAGACCAAUAGUCCAUUUAGCUCACUGACUGGCAGUGGCUGUCUAUGGUUUCAGACAGGGACUCUUUCCCAUCUCUGUGUGAAAAUGCCAGGGAUGUAACCUGGGACUCUCUACAGGCAAAGCAAGUGCUCUACCACUAAGCUACUGCCCUUGCCAAAGUAUCUCCACAUCACUGCACCUGCUCAACAGUGCUAGAAGGUUUCCAGGUGGGAUACCACAGAAAAGAAGUGGAGUGCUUGCCUUCAGGCUGGGGUUGGCCAUUUAAGAAUUCACACUCUUUGGGCACAAAGGAAGGGAGCAGGUGGAAGGAAGACUGGAUGGGGAGACUCAGUUCACUGCCAGCCUUUGUCAGAACAAGUGGCUCACUUGGAGCUUUCCAUGGUGCUGCCUUUCCUCAUGGGUGUCUGCUAUGGAUUGAUCAGAACAACAGUCGCCAGAACAAGAGUUGCCAGAAAAUCUACACUGGGAAAAAGGUAGCUAGAGAGACAGUAGUGCAUGGAGUAUGAGAAGAAGAAGGCUGGUUCAUUAGGACAAAGAGGGCAAUGAACCACCAACCUUAGUCUGCCCUCAGCCUACUCUGUCUUCCUACUUAGUGCUACACUUGAAGAACUCAGCAGAGAGAAGGAUAGGCUCUGCCUGGGAUUGGCUCUGGGUCAUCUUAAUGUUGGUCUCCCUGCCUUGUGCCCCAUUAGUCCCAAUAGGCACCAACAACCAGUUAGUUCAGGAAGCUUUUCCCUACUCCCUUGCUCCAUGAAAUUCCUUCCUCCACCCUGACAAACACACUUUAUACCUGUUCAUUUUAACACAGAGAUCAUGCCACUAUCGCCUCUAAUUAGGCGCCAAGUCAAAUUAAUUUUGGGCCAAAUGACUUUCAGAACUCUGUGCUAGGAACUCAAGGUACUACUGAGCAGGUCUUCUCUGAGCAUUUAUGAGUAGCUUAACACUAAACAAGUUAUGGUGUUACAUUUUUGCAUGCCUGUCUUUUGGAAUUCAGCUAUAUUGCAUGUGAUCAGUCAUCACCUUUUCCAAAGAGAUUGUGCCCACCCCAGUCCAAGCUGUAAAGCAGUUGGACUGACUAGGAUUAGAAUGCCUGAGCAAAUGGGCAGAGACCCCAGCCAACAUGUUAACAUGCAGAAAACUUUUCUUCAGUUAAAUACUACAAGGCCUUGCUGAAACAUACUUUUUAAAAAACUGUUUUGGUGUUUUACAUUUACAUUUUGGAACAGGGCUUAUUCUAUCCAAGAUGGCAAUUGCAGAUAAAACAAUGCAUCUGUCAUACCACUUAAGCUGUAUCAGGCAACCCUCCCCCGCUUCAUGUUUCCCUGCCUCCUCAAAACGUAAGUGUUUGUGGAUUCCCCUUGACCCAUCAGUGGUUGGAACAACCCAGCCCUCCUCAUCCGAUCCAUUUCUCUGCCAGCAAAAGUCAGCGGUGCUGGACUUGAACUGCUACAGUCAGUAAUGCUACCACCUGAAAUUUGCAGAGAUGUGCAUUGUUUCUGCCUUUGCUGUUGUGAGCAAACUAAACAGUUAAAAAAAAACAAAAACCUGCCCUGCAUUUUGUUCAGGCAGGAGCAGUGAGAACAGAAACGAAAGCUCCGGGUGCACUCAUUAUUCUUUUCUACAUUUGCCUAUUCAUGUUUUGGAUUCUUACUGUAGAAUUUUGUUGGAAUAGGCUGGAGCAGUAUCGAAGAUUCUUGCAUUCCCCCCACCCCCAUAUAGCUUUUCAUAAAUAAUCCCAGUGCAAGUAGGUUGAACGUAAGUAAAUAUAAUUCAUCAACAGUGUUUCUAGGGUGAAAGGAAAAAUUUCUCAACUUUUCAGCAAUUUAUUUUACCAUUUAAAUCAAGCCUUGGAGCUUUCCUUAAACAGCCUUUAAAUCUGCCACAUUUGAAAAGUUGUUUCAAAGUUUAGAAAUCCCUCUCUUGUUAUAUGUGUACUAAAAAUAUUGUUCCAGGGUCAUAUAUUAUUCCUGAGGUUGUUUCCCCAAGAGGUCUAUAAUUAAAGGAAGGCUAUGUUUGCAGUUAUAAGGUUUGCAUUUUACACUAUGUAUGCUAACAUUUUUGGUCCCGGUCCUGCAAGCCAUCAAACAUGCAUUACCUGCCCUACAAUGUCAUUCGUGAUAUGUGGCACUGGACCCAGGGGGCUAUUCACAUGAGUCUGCUGGAUCAGCUGUUGCUAGGAAACUAUAGAUACAGAUUACAGUAAUGGCUUCUACAGAAUCUGAUCUUGAAGCAUUUCCUUCCUCCAGCAUUUUAUUAGCACUUCAGGGUUUGUCUGGUCAAAUAAGUCUAUUUCACUACCUGGCGCACACAAUUCCUAUAGUGAUAGAUGUAGUUUUGUCCUCCUUUCUUAUAUAAAUAUCAGCUUUUGAGUCAUUUGAGGUUCAGGUGUCUUUCCAGCUCCUGUAUCUUGGCUCACUUGCAGUCAAAUGCAUUUCCCAGAGCAGGGAAUAGAAACCAACUCCUCUCUGCUCUAUUAAUUGGACAUUUGUUUGCUGCAGUUGAAUGAAAGCAGCAACAGGACUCACAGACUUCUUGAAAAUUACUUCAUAUGCUUUUCAGGUCAAUAAUUUAGGGGCUUCUUUCCAUCCCCAAACCCACCUAAACAAAUAGGACAUUUGAAUAUUUCAUUUAAACAUGCUAGUGACUGGAAUAUAGGUUAAGUCAACUGUAAAAUUGAGCCUCAUCUGGAGACACAGGCUGCUUCUUCAACAGCGCCUUAGAGUGUGUGCAACAACUGCACAUUCUGCUUUGUAGACCCACUGCCUACUCUCCUUUCACAUUGUGGAACAAAGCUGGAUCCUGAUAGCUAUGUAGGGGGCAGAAAAGGAGGGAUGCCCCAUAGGGCCAGUGGAGCAGUGAGAUAGGAAGAAUUGUAGCCACAUACCAACUAAGUGCUAUGAAACUUUUAGAGAGAGAGGCAAGUCUGGGUGUGGUUCUUGCAAUCUUUCAGAUGAGCUAAAUACACUCUGUGGUAUAUGUGUGGUUUGGCUCUUUCACAACUAGUUGAUUUAGUAACUUUUUGCUUGGAGUUUUUUAAUGUCUAUGGCAUGGGCCAGCUGUAGGAUCAGCAACUUUCUUUUGUCUGGCUUCUUGCAUCUGCAGGGAAGCAGAAAUCAAGGAGAUUAAGCUUACAGUGUACAGUUUCUGCUUUCCACCCAACUGCUAAUGGACCCCUGCUAGAAAAAGUUGAGAACCCUGUCCCUUGACGUGCUGUGUAGUGACUGUAAAUGUGCAUGCCAAAGUUUAGCAGCAUACCCUGGUUGAGCCAGGGUCAGUGCAGGUGUUUAAAGAUGCCUCAGCAUGUCAUCUGCGCAGCUGUAGGAAAUGCAAUGCAAUGCAAAAAUAGUGCAGUGACAAAUUCAGGUUUGGGAGGGACCUUGGACAAGACAUCUUCCAUGACCUCCUCAUUGGAAUUAUGAAAAGCUCCUCCUCCUCUUCAUCACUGCAUCGCUUGCCAGGCAGAGAGCUAAUGAGCAAGCAGCCUUGGCAUUGCCACUUCUCCUUCUCGUUUCUGCUACUGUCUGGGCCAUAGCAAAAGGCAGAGAACACCAAACAGUUGCAAUGAUGAAGGUAAGCAGCAGCUUCAAAGAGCUCUUGGCAGUGAACUCCCUUUGGGGUGUGAGGCCUUGGAUAAUGCCCAAUCAUAGUCUUGAUGCUGGUCCUCACAGCGCAUGUUGCACAAUGUGUUGCAUAAUGUGCCACUGACAAAUGCUCCAGUUGUUCAGUAUUUAGGGAUUUGUCUCUGUUCCCAUUCUGUCCCUGUUUCAUCUUUUGAGUGAGAUGUUAGGAGUUUAUUUUAUUUAUAUAUAUAUUAAUGGUGCUUAUAAUACCAACUCAAAAAAAAAGUUAUCCAGGCAGCUUACAAAGACAAUAAAAAAUUAAGAUACAACGUUAAACAAAGUACGCACACUCACAAAUGCAACAUAAAAAACUCCAGCAGCAGAGAAUAAAAUCAUUAGCUUUUUUUUUUUUAAAUGUCAGUGCAAACGCAUAUGCAUUAGGAUCUGACACUGGCCUCAGGCCCCUAAAUGUCUUGGACCAGCAAUGCUUCUGGCAGCCUGCUCUCAGGUAAGCAUUCUGCACGGGUACACAGCUUUAUCAAGAAAGAUCCUUUCUGGGGAAACUCCUGUCUGGCAGAGUUUUAACUUUAAAAAGGCCCAAUACAAAAAGUUAUCUAUAUUCUGAAUUACUUUUUUUGGGAGCAAGCAAAUGUAUGCAUAUUUCAAAAGUUUAACAAGACAGCUUUGCUUUACUAGUGACAUCAAGAUAGCGUCCCUUGGUUUUGUUUUGGAAAUACUGUUGCAGAAUAAAGAUCGGCUGGGUGUAAAUCAUAAGCUGGGUGUUAAAUAUAGCCCAAACAUGCAAGUAAAAGGUCCUUACCUUAGCUUAAUGCCAAGUGCUUAGAUGUGUCCAAGAAAAUCAAUUUAUAAGAUUUCACAGAGAAGGCCUUUGUCCUUUUGUAUUUCAAUUAAAGUAUCACACUGCUAGCACAUAUAUAUUUUAAAAUAAAAUGUCAUCCAGAAUAUAAUCAGUAAUACAAGCAAAUAGAGCAUGAUGACCUGCUGUGAGAGGGGCUGGCCCAGCCAUGAUUUUGUCCACAUCCCUGUCUGCCUGAGUAAUUUUAAAGACAGAAAACACCUUUGGGAAUGAAAGGUAAUAAGUAGGUUCAACAGUGAGGCAUUUAUGGCCAAGUGGUUCCUUGUUUCAGAUCCAAGUAUGAAAUUACAGUGGGUGAAAUGGAGAAGUUUGCCACGGUGCACCAGAAAGAGAAAGCGGGCCUUGGGAGCUGAAAGCUUUAAAUGGAUGUUUUGAAUGUUGUGCAUAUUGUGAUGCAGAGUAGUUCUUGGUGUCGUGAGUUCAUUGACUUCCUCCAUGUGUGGGCUGUAUAUGUAGGUGGCAGUGCCAGCACCAUCUCUGGCACUUGGGCUAACACUGGAACGCUCUGGGAAUGUCUACCUUUAUUGUUCUUUUUGUUUGCUUGCUUUUUUAAUGGGUUGUGUGCUCUCCGCUCCCCUCCUAGGCUGGGUGGGUGUAGGACAUAGCAGCCGCUCCACUGGUGCAGGGGCAGUAUAUCCUCCUUAUAAACCAGUACAGUGGUACCUCGGGUUACAUACGCUUCAUGUUACAGAUGCUUCAGGUUACAGACUCCGCUAACCCAGAAAUAUUACCUCGGGUUAAGAACUUUGCUUCAGGAUGAGAACAGAAAUCGUGCUCUGGUGGUGUGGUGGCAGCAGGAGGCCCCAUUAGCUAAAGUGGUGCUUCAGGUUAAGAACAGUUUCAGGUUAAGUACGGACCUCCGGAACAAAUUAAGUACUUAACCCGAGGUACCACUAUAUAUAAAUGGUUUAUAGGACUGGCUCAUAAUUUUGUGAAGUUAUUCUGAAGCAAAUUGAAACAGUGGGAUUCCUUCACUUUCUGAAGAAAUGAAAAGAAAUGUAAGCUUUCCGUAUUUUGCUGUGUGAGCACUCCCUAGUCCAGUGAAAAUGCAAAUUAUAGAGUUUUCCUUUUAAACCCUGGGGAAACCCAUAAUCCUGCUCCGUCUCUCAUGACACUGGCCUGCUCUUUCGUGAACUUUCUCUAGUGUGGGUUUUUUUUUUUACAAAAAACCCAAACAAACACCCCCCCUUCAUUCCCUUCAGCUUUGGAAUAUCUGCAUCUGUAUCACAACAACAUACAGUGGUGCCCCGCAAGACGAAUGCCUCGCAAGACGGAAAACUCGCUAGACGAAAGAGUUUUCCGUUUUGGAGGUGCCUCGCAAAACGAAUCUGCUAUGGGCUUGCUUCGCAAGACGAAAAUGUCUUGCGAGUUCCUGCGUUUUUUUUCCCCUUUCCCCCCUCUUUUUCUAAGCCGCUAAGCCGCUUAUCUGCUUAUCCGAUAAGCUGAUAAGCCGCUAAAAGCCGCUAAAAGCCGCUAAAAGCCGCUAAUAGCGCUAAUCCGCUAAUCCCAUCAAUGGGCUUGCUUCGCAAGACGAAAAAACCGCUAGACGAAGAGACUCCCAGAACGGAUUCUUUUCGUCUUGCGAGGCACCACUGUAUCAGGAAAGUGACUUCAUCUUCUCCCACCCUUUCGCCUGCAGCAGUCUCCUGUUCCCUCUGCCUACCCUAUGAAGAUGUUCUUGAAGUAUGCUAGGGGCUUGAACUACUGGUUGCUUGGCUCUUUCAAGGUUCAUAGUUAACUCCAUAUAUAUAUAUAUAUUGCUGUUUUUAUAUAGAAAGGCUAUUGGAUAUCUGGGCUUGGGAGAGUUGAAAAUGACAAUGUCUCUUUCCACAAAACAGUAAGGGCCAAGAUGUAGAGUGCAACCAUUCACUGUUCCAACCUAUUUUUGAACAGUAUGUUGGUGGCAUGAAAAUAAGGAUAUUCAUUUAACAAGGAGAAGGAACUGUUUCUCAGAAACAAAUUAGCUAUCCAGACCAGGUAAAAUUGAUGCCAGAUUCCAAUUUGUGAUAAAAGGUAUUUGAGGCAGGCAGCAUUUUACACACUAAUAAGUCAUUUCUACAAUGUGUGGAUACAUCCUACUAGUAUCAGCAAGCAUUCACAUGGAUGUUAAACAGAAGGAAGGUUGCUGCAGAUGAUGACCCAGUCUUGAAAACUAAGCAUACAACCAAGAUCUCAGUGUCAGUGAGAACAGCAAGCCAUUCCUUAGCCAAGAACGGGAAUAUCCUGGCUGCAGUUGUGCUGCUCAGCUGCUGGAUAAAAGCCAGCAUGUAAGAGAGUGACUUUUGUGAAUUCCUGGAGUGGAUCCAUGUAGUGACAGCAUUAAUGUUUGCCCAUGUGGGAGCUGACCUUAAAGUCCUACAGCCAUACAAGCUGCUCAUCUUAUCUGCUGGCAUUCUGCCCUCUCUGCAGCUACGUUUAUGACCUUGCUUUAUCAUUGUGCUCAGCCCACUACUAUAUUAAUAAAAUGUUCAUGUAAAAUGUAUACCAUUUCUGGCAUGAUGUAUACCAUUUCUGGCAUGAUGAAAUGGAGAUGAAUAAUAAAUCCAAAUUGCAAUAAUUUUAUACUAAAGGAAUUCUUUGGUAUUUCCUCCUCUAGAAAAUUUAUACAAGGACUAAGUAGCCAGGAGAAAAACAGAGGGCCUCCAUAUGCAUCCCAUGGCUGAAGAUGCUGCUGAUUGUGUAUUGUUUUUUCAGCUUUCCUCUUGAAGAAAAUGUUUGGCCCUCCUGUUUGCUGAAAAUAUAACGGAAGCACGAGGGAGGCUCAAUAUCACAAAGCUGAAUAAUAAGUUCUCCACAUGUAUUUUUCUUUUCUGAAGUAAUGGUUUCUCCAAGCUCAUCUUCUGCUUUUUCAUUGGUUUUACACAUUUAGUUGUCAUUCUCCCCCCUCCUUUCCUCCUCCUGAAAUUCCCCCCUUCUCCUGAACUCUAAACAACACCCCAAGGGUCCUGCUCCAGGCUGGCUGGAGACCUGAACAAGAGCAGACCUGUUGAGGUCUGAGGAGGGACUGGAACAUUUUGUUGCAGGUCUCCACUUGCCUUCCUGCAGCUCCUACUAAUCCAGAUGACAAGGUGACCUUUUGUAUAGCCAGUUACAAACUUAGCUGUUACUCAUUAGAUUUCCUUUGAAAGAUUCUCAUCCACAUAUUGAUCUGCUUAGCUUGAGAAAGCUAAAAAUACUGCAGCAUUGAGUGGCACAUGAUGCAGAAGUAAGCAGAAACAUGAAUCAUUUAUAUCAAAAAUGGUCAACUGGCAGUCCGCAAGCCACAUCCGGCCAGUGGAGCAAUUUGAUACAAAGUGUGAUAAGAUCUGUUGGGGCUCUUCUGAUGUUCUUACAUUUUAUCUCUUGUAAUUUUGAUGUGUGUUCUUGUGGAUGUGUUCUUGUGUGUAGCUGUGGAUAAACUGCAGUCAUUGCUGAUGUGAAGCCUCCUUAGCACAUUUUUUAGUAUCGGCAAUUUGUCACGUGUGGUGAUGGGUUAGUGGGUGGUCGCUAUCACCAUGCCCCUACUUCUCUUUGCUCCUCACCUGCCUACCAAACAAAAGGCACCUACAGUGGUACCUUGGGUUACAGACACUUCAGGUUACAGACUCUACUAAUUCAGAAAUAGUACCUCGGGUUAAGAACUUUGCUUCAGGAUGAGAACAGAAAUCAUGCGGCGGUGGCGGGAGGCCCCAUUAGCUAAAGUGGUACCUCAAGUUAAGAACAGACCUCCAGAACGAAUUAAGUUCUUAACCCAAGGUACCACUGUAUUUUCACCAGCUGCCACAGACCAAAGGCGUACCCUGUUCAAAGGAGUUAUUCUCUCAAGGUCUUCAUAGAGUAAAUUAUGUGGUUUUACUCUGGAUACUAUUGUUGCAGUCCUACACUGGAGAUAGGUAGGUAGGUAGGUAGGUAGGUAGAUAGAUAGAUAGAUAGAUAGAUAGAUAUGUUGCACAAAACCUCUUUAUCAUUAUUUUGGUAUUUCCUUAUUUCUGAGGGUUUUUUUAGUGUGUGUGUGUGUGUGUGUGUGUGUGAAUGCAUGGUUGUGUGAUUAACAUUUACUGGGUGUUUGGGGCAUUCCUAAUAUUUUGAGAUGCUGAUAGCCACUCCAGCCAUGCCAAAUCAAACAGCAGAUUGAGAUACCUAAACAUCUUGUGCAAGACCUCAGUAUUGCAAAUUAAAAACAAACAAACUGGAAAUGGAUACUGUGUGCACAUGCACACACCACCAAGAGCACAAGUAUCCAUGUUGUUCCGUGUGGAACAUGAUAAAUAAAGGCUGGUAACAUUUGCUCUUGAACUCCUACAUACUUACUGGGAUUAUAUUUGUGUCUAUGCAUUCAGGUACAAAAAUACCCAGGACAGAAAAAGGUACGGAACGAUGAGAGAAGAGUGGAUGAGAGGAAGGACCCAUAACUAUCCUGUAUACAUUCCAUCAAUCUCUUCUCACUGACCUGGAUACCAUGCAGUAGAAGAGCGAGGAAUAUCUAGGCUUGGCUUGGGGUGGAAUGCAUGGAAGCUAAUGUGUCAACCAUGCUCAAGGAAAUAUUGGAUCCAAAUGACCUUUUUGUGAUGUAAAGCUCCAGUCUGGAAACUCAUGUGAUCAAAUGGUUAUAGUACAAUAUUUUAUAUGUUAUGCUCCCAUCACAGGAGCCAACUUCUAGGGGCCGAGGUACCUUCAGCCCCCCCCAAUAAAAUAUUGGUGUGUGUUUCCCCCCAAAAACAAAAUGCAAUUGCAGCACUGAUCUCCCAAGGUUGUACUAACAGUGCACUGUUGAAGACUUUCAGGGCUCCUAUGCCUUUAAUAAAACAUCUCCUGUUUGCAGGUCCGGCCUGCUUUAUUGCUUCCUGCUUAUCUAGGCAGGGGAUUCAUGAUGAAUAGCCAAAUAACUGUACUGUAAUAAGCCCAGUUUCUCUCCGUAGGACAGAAUUACUGUUUUCCUUAUACUGGGCCAGAUUCAACUACCCCAUCCUGCUAGAGGAAACCAGCCCAAGGACUCUUCACUAAUACAACAGGGCUCCCCUGCCAUCCUGAAAGGUUGGCAGAUCCCCUAGAGUAGCGUGGAGGGGGUAGAGGGGAGAUCGUUUCAUUGGGCAAGAAGAAAUGCUUGCAGUAAUGGAACAAUCUCAUUUUUAAAAUAGUGAAAUAGCUCGGUUAAAAAAUAAAAAUAAAUAAAAACUAAUUUUAAAAGGUAAGGAAACCAGAAAUUAAAACCUCCCCCACUUCUUCCACAAGUUUUUCUCCCAGGCAAGGGUUUUUCCAGAUAUAAUUUCCUCCAGCAACUUUAGUUCAAGACCCAGUAAUUAAAAAGGAAGUGACGCUGUGGGUUAAACCACAGAGCCUACGACUUGCCUAUCAGAAGGUCAGCGGUUCGAAUCCCCGCGACGGGGUGAGCUCCCGUUGUUCGGUCCCUGCUCCUGCCCACCUAGCAGUUCAAAAGCAUGUCAAAGUGCAAGUAGAUAAAUAGGUAUCGCUCCGGCGGGAAGGUAAACGGCGUUUCCGUGUGCUGCUCUGGUUCGCCAGAAGCGGCUUAGUCAUGCUGGCCACAUGACUGGAGCUGUACGCCAGCUCCCUCGGCCAAUAAAGCGAGAUGAGUGCCGGAACCCCAGAGUCGGCUACGACUGGACCUAAUGGUCAGGGGUCCCUUUACCUUUACCUAUAUCAUAUAAGACGUAUCUGUAUUAGAAUGGUUUGGAUCUGCCAAUGGUGGGCUUGUUCAAUGGCUGUUCCCUGUAUACAUGCAUCCAUGUUAAUUCUGCUAGCAACGGUCAGCAUGGGGAUUAGCAGGGUUGACGUUUGGAUUACAGGUUUAGGAAUGCCAACAUGCCAAUCAUCUGAAAGAAACACUAUGAUCACCACAGAAAUGCCCUAACUUCUGUCUCUUGUACUGAGCAGUCCAGUUUUUACUUGCAAAGACACGGAAGCGUCUCAUAACAAAAAGUAUCUUCCUUGUCUCAUGUGGUCUCAGGAAAGAAAAAUGUUCUGCAUAAAUGGCCAACUGCUACUUCAGCUCUACGCAUAUGCUGCACUGCAGCUCAUAUAUUUAUCUCUCUCUGCCUUCAUACUUCCUUUGAGAAACAGCUGACCCUUGCUUAAUAAAUUUCAUGCUAGACACAACCCCAAGUAAAAAAAAAAGACUGAAUGAAUAGACAUCCGGAUAAAGCCUUUGGUAAAAUGAAUAAGACAUUGUACGGUAAUGAAUAAGAUGUGUAGUCCACAACCCACUUACUCCAGAGCAGUCCAGUGACUUAAUGGUACCAUUCCAAGGUAAAUAGAUUAUGGAUUGCACUGUGUGUGAGCAGAAAUCCUUCAAUUAGUUUAUUCAAAAUUUAUAUUCUUCCUAAAUAUAGCCUAUACUAUACAACUGAUGGCAAGCUGAAUUAUUUAUUAGCUCAUUUUCCAGUCAUCCUGCUGAUAUGUGCACACUCUGCUUGCAUAUACAUUCAUGGAGUCAAAAAAUGAAAUAAUGCCCUUAUCCUAUGAGAGCCUAGACCAGCACAGCAGGCCAUGCCGUGCCAAUGUUCUCCUGCUUAAAAUAGUACCUGUUUGAAGAGGGGUAAAUUGCUCCACUUUUAUUUAUUUAACAGGAUUUAGAUACCGCUUAAUUACAAAAACAUCUAAGCGCUUUACAUAUAUUAUUUAAAAAUAAAUUGAAAUUAUCAAGCAAACCAGAUAUUUAAAACAAGUUAGCCUAAAAAAUUUCAAAAUAAAUCAGUACUUUCAAAAAUACACACUGUAAAAAGGUAAAGGGACCCCUGACCAUUAGGUCCAGUCGUGGCCGACUCUGGGGUUACAACGCUCAUCUCGCUUUAUUGGCCGAGGGAGCCGGCGUACAGCUUCCAGGUCAUGUGGCCAGCAUGACUAAGCCGCUUCUGGCGAACCAGAGCAGCGCAUGGAAACGCCGUUUACCUUCCCGCCGGAGCGGUACCUAUUUAUCUACUUGCACUUUGACGUGCUUUCGAACUGCUAGGUUGGCAGGAGCAGGGACCGAGCAACGGGAGCUCACCCCGUUGUGGGGAUUCGAACCGCCGACCUUCUGAUUGGCAAGUCCUAGGCUCUUUGGUUUAACCCACAGUGCCACCCGCGUCCCUAUCAUACACUGUAAGAUGACAUAUUAAAAUGCAUGUCAAAUAUACAUGUCUGGGUAGACUAGAUUAAACAAAACAAAAACUUUUAGCAGGUGCCAAAAACCAUCCAGCAAAGGCGCCCGCCUAAUAUCAAUGCGCAGGGAAUUCCAAAGUUUAGGUGAUAUCACACUGAAAGAUCACUUGCAAGUAUGGAAUGAAUAUUAUGUGGCACUGUAAAAAGUGCCAGUUCCAAAAUAUGCAUUUAUAGCAAUGCUUUGGCUAAAGUAGAUCAUGCCCUUGAGUCCUCCUUUGUCCAGUGGGCUUUUCCUUUAUGAUGAGCUGUUUGAAUGGUUUUGCUAUUUUCUGUGUUGUACAACUGCACCCGAGUACUGUGGUCAGGAAUAUUGUUUUAAACAUAUAUUAAUGUGAUCUUAAAAGAGUGACUGCAUAGGAGACCAUCGCAAACCCCAGCCUGUAUCCUGUGGAGUCGGUCUGCAGACUCCAUGGUGUACUUAGCACAGGGGCAAUAAAAGAAAAUAAGCAUUAGCAGGAGGCCUUAGUUUCCUGUCCAGAGCUCAGCUUAGCUUCCCAGAGGAAGGAACACAAAAGUAGAGUCACUGAACACUGCAGUGGCCUGGCUGGUGAGGCUGAUUCUCUGUUACCUCACUGACAAUCUCAUUAGGGCGCUCUUGAUGAUGUUUGGCUAUGCUUCAUAAUGUGAAGACCCCAAUAAGAAGUUACUUGUUAGCCUCAUGAAAAAUAGCCGCUGCAGAUAAACUUUAACGGCCAGUUGCCUCGCAACCAAAAGUCUGUCUCGUGAGAGAAUCCAGUUGCUCUAGCAACAGCCUUUUGACAGGUGCUGAGAGCCACAGACAGCAGAGCUCGUACUGGUGGCUGGGCCAAAGGACACUUGACUGAUACACCACACUACCCUAGACAAACAGAUUACUUCACCAGCAACACUUUCUACCCUGUGAACUCGUAGUAAAUACACAUUUCAGAAUGUGUUUUCUGUUACGGAAAGAAAGGAGCUCAAGGCAUCAAAACACCGGUUAGAAAAUUAAAUACUUAUACUCUGAAUUCAGUGGAAAGGAGGAAGGGAUUUGCAAAUCCCUGUCAUCUCACUGAAAAAGACAGUGGCAAAGACAUGAGUGCAAUUAAGCGGGGGGGGGGGGAGAGAAUAAUAGGGAAAACAGCUUUGGGUGGGCAGCAUUUGCCAGCUCCUGCAGUCUGUUUCGCCAUUUGUUUUGUAGCGUCUAUACCAUAGCAUCAAGUGUCCUUUGUUCUAGCCACCAGUGCAAGCUCAACUGUCUCCGCAGCUCAUAGCUCGUAUAAAAUGGACCUUAUUAUUUUCCUUAGUGUUUACUUCAUUAUUUAAAAUACUAAUGUUUAGAAAGUUGGCGUUAUAAUCAUAUAUACUAAUGUACUGAAAUAUACCUGAAGGAUCCUCUCAACCCUAACAUACCAAAUUGAGCCCUUUGGUCUGCAGGUGAGAACAUCCAGCAGGUAUCAUCUUAUCAGGAGGUUUAUUCCACACAAUGUAGGAAUUUGGCCUUUAGGGUUGUGGUACGUACUCUUUGAAAUCCCCUCCUUGAAUAUUAGACGAUUUCAUGUAUGCCUACAGAUGAGAAAUUUUAUGAUUUUAAUACAGUAUCUUUUUCUUUUCGCCAUUUUGGACAAAAAUUUGGUAAACCAAAAUUACUGUAAACGAAAAUUUAAUGGCAAAGGGUUAGAAAAAGAAGCUUAUUGGGAAAUUUUUCUGCUAGCUCAGACUCAGAUGGUAAUCAGUUAUGUUGGGGAGUCACCUGCAGGGAAGGAGGUACAUAGCAUUCCCUGAAAACCACUAGCACAUCACCUCGUUUUAAACGCAGGCCAAUCCACAAACCUUUACUUUUAGGCAAAUUGAGUUCUACUGACUUUAAAGGCAGAACAUUGGUUUGACUUAAAUGAGUUGUGGCUAGGGCUGACUGACCCACAGAUGAAUGUGUCCCUAUGGUCAUGUGACUCAGCUUCCACUGAAGUCAAAGGGACUCUUUCCUUUGACUUCACAGAGAGUUGUAUCAAGCGCUGUUUGUCCGAGAAAAAGCUAAUAUGGAAUUUAACUGAAUAAACACUUUAGCAGUGAAGAUUACAAAGUAACCUUUCACUUGGUCUUUUUCUUAAACAGAAGGGAGAUGUUUUGCUGCCAGUUUGGGUGUUUAUUUUCCAGUUUCCAUAGAAAAUAAUUGGUCUCGUAUUUUCUCUCUGCCUAGGAAUAAAUACCUUUAUUCAUGCUCCCUAAACUUAGCAGCACGCACAGCCAGGACUCAUGCUGAGACUCGAUCCAAGCUGUCUCCUGCCACAAUUCACUGUGGACAGAUAAGGCUGUACAAUUUUUAUGUGGGGCUUUGAACCACUGGAUGAAAGUAUAUAUUUCUUGCAGCACAUUUAUCCUGUUGACUUCUGCAGUUCCAGCCCAGAGAUAGAAUGCUAAAAAGAGAACAGUAGAGGCCAUCAGGGCAAGAAGCCCAUCAAAGACAGCACCCACUGCAUAUGCUGUUAUUUAAAGCAUUAUUGUUUUCCUUAUUACCCUAGAGUCCAUCUUUAUUAUUAUUGUUCCUCUUUGGGAAUAUUUUAGGCUAGGUUAGUUAACAUGGAAAAUACUAAAUAUACAGCAUCCUAAAAUACAGGCAUUAUAUGUAACAACCCAUAACCAGCCUAAGCAAAUGAGAAAGAAAAGGUGUGUUGGCCAGGGUUUUCUUGCUGGCAUUAAGUUAUAUGGCAUGGUCAACAAGAGCCCUGAGCAAUAUUAGACUGACCCAUUUGCUGUCAUUUCAUCACACCUCCUGGAGAGCCAAUAAUUAGGGGUAAGCUCAGCUUUUCUCCUUAACAACCUAUAUAUAUUACUGAGGAUCUCUGUUUGCUUAGUCCAAUAUGGAAUAACUUGGGCCACUUUAAACAGUAUGGCCAAAAUUGUGGUGGACCCUAGGGUCUCAAAUUUCAACAGCACCCUGUGCAAUGGCAAAAAUGGAUAGUCCUGCCUCUCACCUUCCAUUCUACAACAUAGUUGCGGUUUCCCUUGUGGUGCCCCCAAGGCUCCACACCCAGGUUGCGAUCCCCUAAAUCCACCAUGUCGGAGCUUCACUUAGUGGGCUUCACUUAUCAUUUACACACUUUUCAGGGCCAACUGGAAUCCCAGCUACAACUUUCCUGGCUUGUGUACUCAUGCGCCUUUCAGCAAGUCCCAGGAAAUUGCAAAGUGGAGGAAGAAGGUUUGUUUUCCUGGGUCCCAAUAUAACAUCAUCCCCAACCCCUGGUAUGGCCUGGCUAUAAAUACUUCCAGGUAAGUCUUUUGCUGUUAUAUAUUCUCAGAAGUGAGUAGCAGACAGUUCUGGUGGCCUGGAGCUCGAGUCAGGUCCAUGCAGGGGUGGGGGCCAGCCGGGUACAUUUGCCCUGGGCCUCGAAGGGCUAAGCUGGCCAGGGGCCGCUGCCAAGGACCAGCUGCUUUUUGUUUGAGCUUAUAACUUUGUCCUAACAAGGCUACCACCCUGGGCCUCAGAAGAGCUCUACACUGGCCUGGCUCAAGUACUUGUGCUUCUCUGCUCUCCAGUUCCUGUUGUGCUACCUUGGCUCUCCUACAGCCUGGCUAGGGUUCUUCCUAGUACUGCUGUGCUUCAAAUGUUUUAUCUGGCUACACCCUCAGCCAAUCCUGACCUCCUGAAUGAAGACACCUCAAUGAAGCUUGCAGACAACACUUUGAAAACCCCUGAUCUAAAGAACUCCUCCCACCCCUUUAGGCCAUUAAGUGCAGAGUCGAUGGUUACUUAAAGCUACUACUAUGUGAUGUGACAGAGUAACCACUCCACAAAGAUUAAAACUGUACAAGUGGGAUCAGAAAGCAAGUAUAUGGACCCUUUUGACAAUAUGACAAAAGACUGGCCUACAUUCACUGCCUUGAGCAAGUACAUUGUGCCCUGGGAUCCUCCCAAAAAAUAAACUGCCAGUAUUGUUGAACUAAUAAAUUUACAUAGCGAUAGCAGAGGCUCACUAGAGGUUUAUCAUGGAACAUACACAACAGAAAGUAGGCUGGAAAAAACAUGCUCAGGUAGACAACUGGAAUGCUGGCCAAUAACUAAAUGAUGAUGGUGGUAACAACAUAUUCAUUUCCAGUUCAGUACAUGCACCAACAAGAACCCACAUUUUCAAUUUCUUUCUGCAAGUAUAACCUGUAAAAUACAAAGCCAUUUACCUGUACAAAACAUAUUGAAUAUUUAUUGGUGAAUGAAGUGUGCCAUUUCAUAAAUGCAAGCUGAAUUUCAAUAUGUUUUCUUACAUUUUAGGUGUCAUAACAGUAGACAUUGACUGAGGUGAAAAGAACAACACUUGCUGCAAGCAGUCCGAAAUGGAGGGUAUGCCACUCGUGACCACAAAGUUUUUCUCUCAAGUUCCAACAGUGGUAAAUAUUUUUCAGUGCCUCCGUGUGAGGACUGCAUUAUUUAAACAAGCCUUUAGCUAUCCUUCUGAGGCUUGAAUGAGUCAUGUCUCAUAUUAAUAGGUUGCUGUGUCUCCUCCAGCUGUGAAAGCUUCUGUCCUUAUACAGUGGUGUUGUGUUUACAUAAGGCCAAACUGCAAUACAUACAAAUGGCCAUGAUAGCAAGGGGUGGGAGUCAACAGACCCUUUCCCAACUUCUGACCUCUCUCUGUUCCCAAAGUGAGGUUUCUUGCAUUUAAAAAGCCCACCAGGCUACAGUUACAUGUGUCUAUGUCAGUGGUUCUCAAUCUCUGCCCCCACCCCCAAUAGGCCACUUUAAACUUCUGAGGGUCUUGGCAGAUUUUUCUAUCUGCUGUAGAAUUUGUAAUGUGCUGCGCUAGCUGAUACAAGAUUUUUAAUUAUUUUUGUUGCAGCUUUUAUUUAUUAUAUAUUGUACUUUAUUGUAUUAUUCAAUAGAAUAAUGAGGGCUACCAUAGCAAGGAUGCCCACAUUCUGCCUGUUUGAAUUUUUAGUGGGUGGAACAGGAAACACGACUGUAGCAAAGCAAUGUUGGUCUCAUUUUGUGAGCAGAGGCUGGCAGAACUGUUCUGGUUGAGACACAGGAUGACCCCUGACCCAUCCAACCUGUUCCCCGAAUGAUGAAUCUGGGAUUUGGAGAGCUAAAUUCCCUUCUACUGGAAGAAUUUGAAAAUAUGCCAGCAAUGUAGGUUUUGUUGAACACCAGGUAUUUCACUUGCUGAUCUGCUGGCCAGUCACUCGCAGAACUUUAUUUCUUGAAAGAUCAGAGAUCCAUUUUUUCUUGCAGGACCAGAACCAGUGUUCCCAUGCUAUGGCUUAAUAUCAUAAUGCAGCCAUUAUUUAUUUGACAGACACUAUCAUAUAUACAUUGCUGAGGAUGAAUAGUUUUCAUGGGUCAAACUGGAAAGAAAAGGCACAAGGGAAAAGAAGAAGCAUAACAACAUUGCUUUCCUCCAUCAACCCUUCAGCAUGCCUGAUAACCCCAAAUAUAUAUGCAAAUAGUCUGUUUAUCUGAACUCCAAAGUAAACAAAUAUGCUGAAUGUAUUUCUGGUCAUUCAGAAAAUAAAGUUUCAUUGUACUCAAGAGCU